rnacentral:lncRNA from 1 species
UGCAAUUUACUUUCAAUAUUUGUAUCAGAAAAUCUGGCUGAAAAUGGAUAAAAUUUAACACAUUCAGGUUCCUCAUCCCUCUCAAGACAACAAAAUCAGCAACAGGUAGGUUACAGUCUUACAGCCUGCUGUAAAACUAUGUACAGGCCAAAAAACAUCCAAAAACAAUAAAGGAGCAAGUUGAAUUCUAAGCAUAUUUUAAGAUUUUCACCUAAAAAUUCAGCUUAAUCGCUUGUUUCUCUUUAAUUAUUUUCAAGACAAAAGAUUCUACUAUCUCAAAAAUAUAAAACUCCCAAAUAUCCAGCUAUUCCUUAAAAAAAAAAAAUCUAUAAACUCACACACCCACUAAAGCUGAAACCAAGAAAUAAACAUUAAGAAGGCCACUACUUACUACACUUACUACUGAAACUAGACUUUAACUGCAAAUAUUCAGCCUAAUCUGGUUUAUAGUACUCUCGCUCUGAUCCUCAUCGUUGGGCCCUUUACUGAUCUUAUGCUACAACUACAACCUACUAAAGUUUAUAAUAUCUGCAUCAUAGUGCUGUAAAAACCAAAAUCUUCAACUCUAUAGGGGACAUCUUUUCCCCCUCCGUUCAAUGCAAACCCAGUUUAUUUGUAAUCAAACAACAAAUCCAUGAUAUCUACUCGACAAUGAAAUAUUUUAAUAAAAAAAUUUCGGCUUCUAUUUUAAUAAAAUUACAAUUAAAUCUAAAAUUGAAAAAAUACCCAUAAACAUACUUCAGAAAAUCAACAACAAAGUUACCUUCUUGUCAAUGAAAUCUACCCAGAACCUAGCUUGAGCUCUCUGGUAGGGAUCAGAGGGAAGCAAUGGAGCCUUGUCCUUCCACACUUCAUCAAUGUACUGAACAAUGAUGGAUGACUCACAGACCGGUCUGCCGUUGUGGAUGAGAACCGGGAUCUUCUUGUGAACCGGGUUCAUCUGCAGAAGCAGGGGGCUCUUGUUCUUCAAGUCCUCUUCCUUGUAUUCAUACUUGACGCCUUUCUCCGCCAGAGCAAUCCUGACCCUCAUCCCGAACAUGCUGGGCCAGAAAUCCAACAGAAUCACUUCGUCCGCCAUUAUUACAGAAGCUUACUAAGAAUCAACAGUGAAUAAAUGAAAAGACACGAUAAACACGCCGAAAGUGAGGUUACGAGAGUGCAUAUUUAUAGCGAAAAGUUUGCGCUAAUCGGUUUGGACUUGGCAAAUGUUUGAGAUGGCCGUACGUGGCUAAGGCUCCGUUUGGUACAGCUUAUUAAAUAGAGCUUAUAACAGUAGAGCUUAUAGCAGUAGAGUUUAUACCAAUAGAGCUUUUGGACAAAAAGUCAUUGGGUGUUUGGUUGUCAAUAAAAAACCAAACACCAUAAGCACUUAUGACUCUUAAAUAAGCCAUACCAAACAGGCACUAAUAUUGGUCUCGUUCUAGCUCCACCUGUAAUACAACGCUGCACCACAUACAUCGUUAUUGAAUUUUUUAUUUAAAAAUUAAUUGGCCUUUGGAUCGCACUCAAAAGUAAUCCAACGGAUUAUAUUUUUUUUGGCUAAUGUUGGCUACCGGAAGUAUCAGUUGCGAUUGAUUGAGAUAUGGUAUAAAUACGAGAUUUUUUUUACCCGUUCUCUUUUCAUCUGUCUCUAAAGCUCAGGCAAUUGGGCAUUCAAUUGGUAUCCCCUUUUAAUGAAAAAAUUGAUGGUGUGGUGAGACUGGAAGUUGGUUGGCUUUCUCUGAAUCUCUUUCUCAAAUCCAAAAUUACGAAUUGAUGUUGAGAAAGAGAUUCAGAGAAAGCCGACCAACUUCCAGAAUCGUGAUUAAAUUCUCUUUCUAUAAGGUAAUUUCUUAAUUAGUUUGAAAGUUUUUCCUAUUGUCUUAUGUCUUUUUGAAGUCUGCAUUUUAAACAGAUCAAUUUAUUCUCACAAAGAAACAAUCUCAACUAACGAGACUAUGUAAGGAGAUUUCUAAUUCAAAGAAACCUACCUGUAACAGGUACGUCUUACCAAAUUACCACCAUAUCCUUUAGAAUUGUAAGUUAAACCAUUGGUAUAAUUUUUUAAUAUAGAAGAAUUUAUUAAUUGAAGGGUAUAAUCUAAUAAGCUGUGUGGGGAUAUGCUGACCGAAGGGGGAAAGAAUUAACAUGUGUUUAUAUGAUAUUCAUAUGAAGAGAAUGAAAAAGAAAAAGCUUAAAACGCAGCAAUAAAGUAUAUUGUUUAAAUAGGAAAGUAAAAUUUGGUAAAAGAAAUAGAAUGAAAUAAGUAAUUUUAAAAAAAAAUUGUUAUAGGUUUUAAUGGAUGGAUUUACAAUGUUUUACAUAGAUGGCAAGUCACAAAUUAGUAUUUUUUUAAAAUUAGUAUGAGAAGAGCUUUUGAGAAGUCAUAUGUAAAUUUUUUUAAUCUUUAUUACUUUUGUGACAGUUGAGGAAACACACUAGGAAAACCAACAGAGAACUUUCAGCAGAACAUAAGGCAAGUCACAAAAAGCAAUGUGAAAGGAUUGGUUGUGCAGAUGCAUAUUCGGAUAACAAUGAAUCAAAAACUAUUAAGGUAGAUAAGUUCACCUUGGAAACUAGGUGUGCGCCUGACCGAUUUUGUUCUUUUGUUGGUAACUUAUCGGAAGACAAGAAAAAUGCAAUAAGAGAUAUAGGAUUUGGAAGCCUACUUUAAAUCCAAUGUGGUCGACUGAGGAGGCAAUUAUGUCGUUGGUUGGUGGAUCAAUUCAAACCUGAAUACAACAUUAUUGAACUUCAUGGUCAAAAUUUGAAACUGUGCCACAGAAAAUUUUCAGAUGUCAUGGGUGUAAAUGAUGGAGGUAUACCAAUACAAUUGGGUGGACCAAGUGAAAAUAUUACUGAAUUACGAGAUAUUUUUCAAUCAACAGUCAAAGGGAUCAACAUCAAGACGCUUGAGGAUAUUAUAAAGCAAGAAGAUAAAACCAGCUGGAUUUUCAAGGUUUGUAAUAAAGUUGAUUUUGGCACAUUUAUGCAUACACCCAUUAUUAUAUUAAAUCAUGAAUAUCUGUUAUAUUUCUUUCAUAUUAUAUUAUAUUCUGAUACCAUUUGUAUUUUUCUAUAAUAUUUGCAUGCAUAAUUGUAUAAAACAUUUAAGUUACUGUGAAAUAUGAGCACAUAUCAGCCAUUUAUCAAACUCAUUCAUGUUUGCUAUUGUUCAUUUUACAAAUAGUAGUUUUGAUAUGAGCAGGUUGCGUUUACUUUGUUUGCACUAGCCACGUUGUUAUGCCCAACAAGUGGUUAUAUAUCACAUUUGUUCUUGCAUCCGUGCAACGAUGUUCUCAAUGUUAAAUCACUUAAUUAGUUACAAAUAGUAGUUUUAGUAGUUUUGAUAUGAGCAGGUUGCGUUUACUUUGUUUGCACUAGCCACAUUGUUAUGCCCAACAAGUGGUUAUAUAUCGCAUUUGUUCUUGCAUCCGUGCAACGAUGUUCUCAAUGUUAAAUCACUUAAUUGGGCUUCAUUUUGUUAUAAAUGGCUGGCAAAAUCCAUUGGCAAAUAUAAGAAUCGUGAAACUACAUAUGUUGGGGGAUGUCUUCUUUUCCUACAGGUAAGAUGAUUUUCAUAAUUGAAUUUUAGCAUUUUUCUGGCCAUGGAUGGCUGUUUAUACGUAUUUUCUUAACUAUAAUCUGUUUAUACAGAUUUUCUUAACUAUAAUCUGUUUAUACAGAUUUUUUACCUCCAUAAUGUUGCAUACAACUGCAUUCAGCCUAAUGGGACCAAAACUCCUGUGACAUUCUGGAAAGAAUCAAUGGUGAAGAGGUUCAUGAAGUGGUUGAGAUCUCAGGGAGGGAUUGGAAGUAAUAAGGUAAAUUUUAUUGUAGAGUGCUUAUCAUUAUAAUUACCAUAAUAAUGUGUGAGAAAUGGGAUUAUCCUUAUUUUUUGAGAUCAUUUAUCUGCUCAAUUAAACAGAUUCAUAUGCGUACCAUUGAUACCGGUGAAGCUUCUCGAUCAAAAGCUGUUAGACAUCUCAAUUUUGAAGAAAUAAUUCAGAAACAAAUACUUUCAAUCAGGGUACUGACAUUUAAGGUUGAUUAUCUAUCUGAUGCGAUAUCUGACCAGACUAAAAUGCUAAAAGAAUUGCUACAUCAAAGGCAAAUUAUGGAUUGAGUUGCCCGUCAUGUCCAUCAUCCUACCACAGAUAACAUUAAAACUCCUUCCCACGAGUUUGUGUCUGCGCAAGAAAAUAAUGUUGGGGCUGAGUUUAUUGAAAUCUCAUCAAAUGAAAGUUCAGCCCGAGGUUAUGAUAAGAUAAACUCUCCUUAUGAUGGCUCCAGCUUAAAAACAAAGGAACGACCAUUAUAUCAAAUAUUGAGGACAUUAGAAAUGGCUAUGGAUUGUGAAAAGACAGAUGCAUUACCCUCAAAGAAAAUAGAAAUGUCCAAGGGAAAACAAGAACUGAUUCUUAAGGAUUCUAAGGUAUUAAAGUGUCUUUGUUACUGUUGUAUUGAUAUUUAUCAUAAUUGUAUGUUGUGACAUUACCUCAGAAUAUGUGAAUUUUAAUUUUUUUUCUUUUGUAGGAGGGUCUUGUGAUGAUACAAUCAACUGCAAAGGGAAUGCAUAUUCAAACUUCUAAAGAAAAGAAUGUCAAUCUCAAGUCUACCCAACCCCGAUUUUUGGCUGGUCCAUUUUCAGUUCCCACUCCAUUUACCGAGGAUGAAAAAAAGCUUAUUCUUUACCUUUUUGACGACAAGUUGGCUGAAAUGUAUGGUCUAGUAAUAAUGAAAUGUUUUUGUAAAUGGCUAGAUUGUUUCGAAUAUAGAUAUAAAUCUCUUAAUCUUGCUUUUAUUCAUUGUAAUAAUGUUGUUUUUUCAUGAUAAAAGGAUGUUGUCGUCCGUACAGAAUACAGCAGCAUAACACGGAGCAGUAUGCGUUCCCUCCUGCCGAGAGCAUGGAUUGAUGGUGAUGUAAUACUCUAUGCCUACUAUGUAUAAUAUUUAGGAUUCAUUCAAUACUAAUGAUGCCAUUAUUUUCAAUUAGUAUAUAUGUGCAUAUCUCUUAACUAAUGUUCCACUUUGGUCGCAACUGUUAAAAAAAAUUUCAGAUUAUUACUAUGUACGCAGAGUACAAGACUAUUGAAGAGGCCCAAAAGGAUAUCACCUCUCCUCGAUGUUGGUUCUUGCCGUCAUAUUAUUCCGUAAGAUAACCAGAAAUUAAAUAUUUUUAAUUCAAUCAUUACUCUUUAAAUGAGAUCAUGUAGAAUGUCAACUAACAAAAUGUUUUUAUUCUUUUAAUUUGUGCCACUUAAAUUUAAAGCAAGUUGUAUUGGGUGACUCGGGUGAUCUAAACCCCUAUCGUCGAGCUUCCAGGUUCCAAGAGCGCUACAUGCCCCAGUUGGAAACUUGUGAAAAGGUUCAGCGCAUAACAUGAAUUUUUUUAAUGAACUUUUUGUGGUUUGUAUUUUUACAUAGUUCCUUGGUAUCUAAUCAGUCAUUGACAAUUGUAUGUUCUUAGGAGGAUUGACUACAUUUGUGCGUUAGUCGGAAUUUGAUUAAAUAACAUUCUAAAUUUUGUUAACACUUAUUCUGGUUGAUGUUGGCAGCUCGCCUCACUGGAUUUUUUGCUACUUAGAGAGGCUCGACUUCGUUUUGGUUCAAAUUUCAAUUUUCUGCAUUUUCAACUUGGUCGUCAAACUGGUCUGCCACAACAGCCAAAUGAUUUUGAUUGUGGAUACUAUACCUUGAAAUAUAUGGACAAUCCCUCUAUUGUUGCUGACCAGUCUUAUCAGGUAUAUGCUUUUUUUUUCAAUCUUGAACAUUGAUGAUUCUGAUAUUUAGUUCAUGAUCAAUGCUUUCUUCAGACCAUUUAUCAGUCAUUAUGUUUAAUGAUUCUGUAUUUAGAUUAAUAACAAUGAUAACAGAGGAGUACUGCAAAGAAGUAAGAAAUAUUAAAGUUUUCUUUAUGAAGAGUACUUUUAAGGCAUAACUAGGAGUACUCGAUAAUUUUUUUUCCUUUUAAGGAUGUAUUAAGCAAGCUGUUUUUAGAAGAUAUCUAGUUUUGAAAGCAAUAAGACAUACUUUUUAGCAAGUAAACAAGCACCUAAAAAUGUGAAUUGUUAAAAAUCUGCAUACGUAAAAGGCUAAGUAUUUAUAUUUAAGAAGUGUUAUUAUAUGUUGCAAGUCAACUACCUUUUGUGAAAAAAUAAGCUUGCUGCUAGUAAUUAGGUAGCAAGAGCGCUACAUGCCCCAGUUGGAAACUUGUGAAAAGGUUCAGCGCAUAACAUGAAUUUUUUUAAUGAACUUUUUGUGGUUUGUAUUUUUACAUAGUUCCUUGGUAUCUUUUUCAUUUUACUAACCUGAUAACAAAACAUUUUGCCAAUAAUUGUAUUUACUCUCCUACAACUGCAGAUUUAUGUGCCCGUACAUUGUGAAGCUCAUUGGUACAUGCUUGUUAUUGACAUUCUUCGUCAAACUGCUGAUAUUUGGGAUUCAUUGGAAUCUCUCAGUCAAAGAGAAAAAAUGAUUAAUCAGUCAUUGACAAUUGUAUGUUCUUAGGAGGAUUGACUACAUUUGUGCGUUAGUCGGAAUUUGAUUAAAUAACAUUCUAAAUUUUGUUAACACUUAUUCUGGUUGAUGUUGGCAGCUCGCCUCACUGGAUUUUUUGCUACUUAGAGAGGCUCGACUUCGUUUUGGUUCAAAUUUCAAUUUUCUGCAUUUUCAACUUGGUCGUCAAACUGGUCUGCCACAACAGCCAAAUGAUUUUGAUGGUGGAUACUAUACCUUGAAAUAUAUGGACAAUCCCUCUAUUGUUGCUGACCAGUCUUAUCAGGUAUAUGCUUUUUUUUUCAAUCUUGAACAUUGAUGAUUCUGAUAUUUAGUUCAUGAUCAAUGCUUUCUUCAGACCAUUUAUCAGUCAUUAUGUUUAAUGAUUCUGUAUUCAGAUUAAUAACAAUGAUAACAGAGGAGUACUGCAAAGAAGUAAGAAAUAUUAAAGUUUUCUUUAUGAAGAGUACUUUUAAGGCAUAACUAGGAGUACUCGAUAAUUUUUUUUCCUUUUAAGGAUGUAUUAAGCAAGCUGUUUUUAGAAGAUAUCUAGUUUUGAAAGCAAUAAGACAUACUUUUUAGCAAGUAAACAAGCACCUAAAAAUGUGAAUUGUUAAAAAUCUGCAUAUGUAAAAGGCUAAGUAUUUAUAUUUAAGAAGUAUUAUUAUAUGUUGCAAGUCAACUACCUUUUGUGAAAAAAUAAGCUUGCUGCUAGUAAUUAGGUAACAACCACUGGAGUCGUGAACUAUGUGGACUUUGUUAUUUUUAUAUAAAUUCAUCUUGUGAGCAUAUAGAAAUUGUUGUAAUUAGUGUUUCUUUUUUGUUAGCACGAUUCGGAUUAUGCUCGCAUCCUGUUGGCACUCUAUCUAGCACAAUCUCCACUUAAUCAUAGAAGCUCAUUGGUACAUGCUUGUUAUUGACAUUCUUCGUCAAACUGCUGAUAUUUGGGAUUCAUUGGAAUCUCUCAGUCAAAGAGAAAAAAUGAUUAAUCAGUCAUUGACAAUUGUAUGUUCUUAGGAGGAUUGACUACAUUUGUGCGUUAGUCGGAAUUUGAUUAAAUAACAUUCUAAAUUUUGUUAACACUUAUUCUGGUUGAUGUUGGCAGCUCGCCUCACUGGAUUUUUUGCUACUUAGAGAGGCUCGACUUCGUUUUGGUUCAAAUUUCAAUUUUCUGCAUUUUCAACUUGGUCGUCAAACUGGUCUGCCACAACAGCCAAAUGAUUUUGAUUGUGGAUACUAUACCUUGAAAUAUAUGGACAAUCCCUCUAUUGUUGCUGACCAGUCUUAUCAGGUAUAUGCUUUUUUUUUUUUCAAUCUUGAACAUUGAUGAUUCUGAUAUUUAGUUCAUGAUCAAUGCUUUCUUCAGACCAUUUAUCAGUCAUUAUGUUUAAUGAUUCUGUAUUUAGAUUAAUAACAAUGAUAACAGAGGAGUACUGCAAAGAAGUAAUAAAUAUUAAAGUUUUCUUUAUGAAGAGUACUUUUAAGGCAUAACUAGGAGUACUCGAUAAUUUUUUUUCCUUUUAAGGAUGUAUUAAGCAAGCUGUUUUUAGAAGAUAUCUAGUUUUGAAAGCAAUAAGACAUACUUUUUAGCAAGUAAACAAGCACCAAAAAUGUGAAUUGUUAAAAAUCUGCAUAUGUAAAAGGCCAAGUAUUUAUAUUUAAGAAGCAUUAUUAUAUGUUGCAAGUCAACUACUUUUGUGAAAAAAUAAGCUUGCUGCUAGUAAUUAGGUAACAACCACUGGAGUCGUGAACUAUGUGGACUUUGUUAUUUUUAUAUAAAUUCAUCUUGUGAGCAUAUAGAAAUUGUUGUAAUUAGUGUUUCUUUUUUGUUAGCACGAUUCGGAUUAUGCUCGCAUCCUGUUGGCACUCUAUCUAGCACAAUCUCCACUUAAUGAUAUUAGGCAUAAACUCAUGCAAGAUGCUUCCAAUGGAUAUGGAAAGUGUAGUGCUGCUGACUCGCAAAGGGCCCCUUGUAAACAAACUUCAGAAUUAAGAAAAGCUGCCAGAAAUAUUAAUCUUAACCAGACACCGUCCGAGGCUUUAUUAAAAACAUUACUAUGAUCUCUAAAGGUAUGUUAAGUCGCUUGUCAUUCCCAUUUUUGAUCUUAUGUCCUAUGCUUAUCAAUUGUUAUUAAGUUGUUUUUUCUAUUUCUUUUAGUGAGUUAUGAUGUUUUUGGUAGACCAAUUAAACUUGUUAUUAAUCAUCUGCUUGUGUUUUGAACUAGGUGUCACUACACUUGGAAUGGCAGCUUUUAUAUUUUGGUAUUCGAAACCAUUUUGUUUUUGAAUAUUUUUGUAACAACACCUUUUUUGUAUAGCAUAUACUAAUCAUUUUUUGGUUAGGUAGUCGAGUAACUGUUUAUUAGAACCUUUGUCAGUUCAUUCACCUAAAGAAGCAGAUGAGCCAUGUGUGGCCUUAGAAGAUGGUGUUGUAGAUGCAUUUCGUGCUGCUGGAUGCCCUCUUAUUUUUUUGUGUCCGAGGGUAGUGUAUUUAGGUUGCAUAUUCUGACCAUUUGUUAUUAGGCACUAUCGGUCAGAGAUGGCUAAUUGUAGAAACUUGAUAUGUAUUUAGGGCUAUAUCUCUGUUAAUUCUUCUCUAUUAUAACUGUCUUAAAAUUCCAGUAAAAUUACUUAUUGAAUUUUUUGUAGCUUAAAUUUGGUUUUGUUUUGUUUCAGAUUUUGAUGAAUUAUGAUGUUGAAGGGUUUCGACUCUUUUGUAAUCUACUUUGCUUUGACUAAUGAUGUUCAAUCCUACAGACACGUAGAAAUUGAUAUUUUUAUUUCCCGCCUCCAUUUUUGAUAUUUUUGAGAAGUAUUACUUGUUAAAAUUAGCAAUUAUAAAUGUUGCUAGUAAUGUCCACGGGUGCACAUAUACUUAAGAUUAGCAAUCGUCAAAAAUUUAUAUAUAUGGUUAUUGUAUAAGAUUAUUGUAAAAAUACAAUUGAUUAAAAUAUAAUUUUUAAAAUUACAUUUAAAGGAUGGAGCUUGAAACAUCGACUUAAAAUAUUGGAUUUUAAUACAAAGAGUAAAAAUAUAAAACCAAAAAGUAGUGGCAAGAACAAUCUCACCCAAAAUUCGGAACAACUGAACCAGAAUUUGAGUAAUCUCAACUGGAAGUUGAGAUUCCAAAAGUAAACUUGAAACCUUGACCUAAAAUAUUAAAAUUCAACAAAAAGAAUAUAAAUAUAAAACCAAAAAGUUGAGCAAACAAGAGUUAAAGAGGUUAACCUAAAAGUAGAAAAAACCUUACCAAGAAUUUGACAAUUUAUAACGAGAAGUAGAAAUCUAAAAACCAAACUUGUAACAUCCACUUAAAAAGUUGGAUUUUAAUAAAAAGAGUAGGAAUAUAAACCCAAAAAGUGGUGGAAAUAAGAAUUAAAGAACUUAACCUAAAAGUAAAAAAUAAAUUACCAAGAAUUUGACAAGUUUCAACGAGAAAUAGAAAUCUAAAAAGUAAAAUUGAAACAUCCACUUAAAAUGUUGGAUUCUAAUACAAAGAGUACGAAUAUAAAACUAAAAAGUGGUGGCAAGAACAACCUCACCCAAAAUUGGGAACAACUCAAUCAGAAUUUGAGUAAUUUCAACUGUAAGUAUUUUUUUUUUAUUACGAUUUCAACUGUAAGUUGAGAUACCAAAAGUAAACUUGAAAUUUCGAAGUAAACUAUUAAAAUUCAACAAAAAGAGUAUAAAUAUAAAACUAAAAAGUGGUGGAAAUCAGAGUUAAAGAAUUUAACCUAAAAGUAUAAAUAAAUUACCAGAAAUUUGAUACAUUUCAACUAGAAGUAGGGAUAAAAAAAGUAAACUUGAAACAUCGACUUAAAAUAUUGGAUUUUAAUACAAAGAGUAAAAAUAUAAAACCAAAAAGUAGUGGCAAGAACAAUCUCACCCAAAAUUCGGAACAACUGAACCAGAAUUUGAGUAAUCUCAACUGGAAGUUGAGAUUCCAAAAGUAAACUUGAAACCUUGACCUAAAAUAUUAAAAUUCAACAAAAAGAAUAUAAAUAUAAAACCAAAAAGUUGAGCAAAUAAGAGUUAAAGAGGUUAACCUAAACGUUGAAAAAACCUUACCAAGAAUUUGACAAAUUAUAACGAGAAGUAGAAAUCUAAAAACUAAACUUGUAACAUCCACUUAAAAAGUUAGAUUUUAAUAAAAAGAGUAGAAAUAUAAACCCAAAAAGUGAUGGAAAUAAGAAUUAAAGAACUUAACCUAAAAGUAAAAAAUAAAUUACUAAAAAUUUGACAAAUUUCAACGAGAAGUAGAAAUCUAAAAAGUAAACUUGAAACAUCCACUUAAAAUGUUGGAUUUUAAUACAAAGAGUAGGAAUAUAAAACACAAAAGUGGUGGAAACAAUAGUUAAAGAACUUAACCUAAAAGUAGAAAUAAAUCACCAGAAAUUUGAUAAUUUCAACGUGAAGUAAGGAUUUAAAAAGUAAACUUGAAACAUCCACUCAAAAUGUUGGAUUUUUAUAAUAAUAGUAGGAAUAUUAUACCAACAAGCGGUGGGAAGAAAACCCCAACCGAAAUUUGGAACAAGGUCAUAGAAUUUGAGUAUCUUCAACUGAAAAUUGGGAUACAAAAGUAAACUUGAAACUUCGACCUAAAAUAUUAAAAUUAAAAAAAAAGAGUGUAAAUAUAAAACUAAAGAAUGGUGGAAACAAGAGUUAAAAAUCUUAACCUAAAAAUAAAAAUAAAUUAUCAAUAAUUUGACAAAUUUCAACGAGAAGUAGAAAUCUAAAAAGUAAACUUGAAAAUUUCACUUAAAAUGUUGGAUUUUAAUACAAAGAGUAGGAAUAUAAAACCAAAAAGUGGUUGGAAGAAAAAUCUAAUCCAAAAUUGAGAACAACUCAACAAGAAUUUGAGUAAUUUAAACUGGAAGUUGGGAUACAAAAAGUAAACUUGAAACUUCGACUUAAAAUAUUAAAAUUCAACAAAAAGUGUAUAAAUAUAUAACUAAAAAGUGGUAGAAAUAAGAGUUAAAGAACUUAACCUAAAAAUAGAAAUAAAUUACCAGAAAUUUGAUCAAUUUUAACAAGAAAUAGGAAUCUAUAAAGUACACUUGAAAUGUCCACCUAAAAUGUUGAAAUUCGAUAAAAAUAGUAGAAACAAAUAACUAAAAAGUUGUGGCACAAGAGUUGAAAUUUCGACUUAAAAGUUGGAAUAACUUACUAAGCAUUAAAUAAUUUUUAAUGAAAAGCAGGGAUGUAAAAAAUUAAGCGAAAAUACUCACCUAAAAUGUUGGAAUUUAAUAAAAAGAAGAGGAAUAUAGAACUUAAGUGUGAUGAGAAGAUGAGUUGAUAAACAUAACCUAGAAAUUGGAAUAACUUACACAUAAAUUAACAAAAAAAAAAAAACCAACAAGUAGAGAUCUAAAAAUAAACUUGAGACUUCCACCCAAAAUAUUUGAAUUUUUUAAAAAGAAUAGGAAUAUAGAAUUUAUAAGUCGCAGGAAUAAGAGUUGAUGAACUUAACCCAAAAGUUGGAAUAAGUUAUAAGGUAUUUGGUAAAUUCCAAUGCGAAGUAGAGAUCUAAAAAGUAAACUAAAAACAUUUAUCCAAAAUAUUGAAACUCAAUGAAAAUAGUAGGAUUGUAAGAUAUAAAAGUUGUGGGAAAAUGAAUAGGAACAACUUACUAAAAAUUAGAUGAAGUUUAAUGGAAUGUAGGGAUAAAAAAUGUCAAAUUGAAAUAUCUACCUAAAAAGUUAGAAUUUAAUGAAAAGAGUGGAAAUAUGAAAGAAAAGACUAGUAAAAAAUGAGUUGAAAUAAGUUACGAAAAUUUAGAUAAAUGAUAAUGAAAAUUAGGAAUUUCAAAAGUAAACUUGAGACAUAUAAUAUAAGUAUUGGAAUGUAACAAUAAAAAGUCGGAAUAUGACUAUUUUGUGAUAUUUUUAUAAUAUUUUUAUAAAUUUUUAUGUUAUUUAUAAAUUUAAAAUUAUUACAAUUUUUUUUUAUCUCAUUUGAAGGAAAUUUUUUAAUUUUUCCCUUUUUUUAAAUAAAAUUUUCACAUUAAAAACAAUUAAAAUUUUUAAUUUGCAUUUAUUAACCGGUUGAAAACUGGUUGUACCGGUACCAUGCAUGCGCUGCAUGAGAUGCAGCACUGCAUGGUAGGUUGACUCGUCUUUUCUUUCCAGAAAUAUAUGAUCUUCUCCUGGCCACUUCGUGUUCAAAAUAAACAAUAAAAAAUAAAGUGAUGUUAUAAAACAUUCUAGGCUCUUCCAUCUCCAGGAUAAGUCAUUGCUUCCGUCACAAUCGCGCAAGCACCCAACUAAAUUUGUUUUGGAUAAAAGAUAUUCAUCUCAAAUUUUAUUGUAAUUGAUAUGUUAUUCAUUAAAUAUUGAUAAUUUUUCAUAAUAAUUACAUUAUCUUAUUAAUUAAUUGUUGAAUGUUAAUUGAGAUAGCUUUUGUGAUAAAAAUUUAGGUUGUGUAGCAUUAUUCAUUUUUUCACAAUAUUUUCUUUAAUGAGGAGGGCAACAACCAUUACUUAAUCAAAAUUUCAUUCCAUGAAAUUUAGAUGGCAAUUUAAGGGCUAAUUUGAUAGUAAAGUAGUUUUUAAAAUAUUUAUUGUUAGUUCUAUUAUAAAAAUAAUUAGUUAUAAAUAGAAUCAACUAACAUUUAGUUUUUUUUUUAAAUUAAAAUUUUAUUAAUAGAAAAAUGAUUACAGUGAUUUGUCUUUACAUACAGUUGGAACUUCUUCUAACCAAACUUUUUCGAUGGAAUUACAAAGAGCUAAUUUAGCGAGAUGAUGUGCAGCUCCAUUGUAAGACCGUGGAGCAAAUUUCACUUGGAAAGAACUCUCAGAGGAAGAUAAGUGAUGAGCAUAAUUUUUAUAUAUAUUACCUUUUAUUGUAUAUUUACUAGUAUUUUUAUUUAUUAUUUUUAAUUAAUUGAAUUGUUUUACUGAAUAGGGAAUUAAUUUGAGAUUAUGAAUAAAAAAUGCAUAAAAGAUCCAUAAAAGAAAAGAAUUGAAGAAUUAAAGAUUAUAUUCCAAAGCUUCUACGUGAGCUUAAGAUAAUUAAAGAAAGAUUUUAUUUAGCAAUUUGGAAUGCAUGGGCUGGGCAUUAAAGGAAGAAAUCAUUAAUUGGCCUUUUGCUUUGGAAGUCAAACAUGUGGCUAGAGCAAAACAAAUAAAAAGCCAAAGCCUUUUGGCUUUAGAAUUGAAAAGGCGGGGCCUAUUUUGAAGACUAUAUAAGCAAGCUUUUGUCUUUUGGACCAAAAAAGGGGGAAGGCGCCAGAUGAAAAAGGAAACAAAAGGAGACGCGAUUCAGGAGAGAAGUCAUGAGUGAUAGCAGCUGUUCAGUUUUUAUGGCUGGUGUUAUUUAUUUUGUUACUCUCAAUUCAAGUAUAUUUAACUAAUUUUCUUAUAUUGAGGUUAAGAAUGAAAUUCUAUUAAAUAAAAUAAUUAUCUCUUUAUUUAAUUAAUUUUCUACAUGUGUGUUUUAAUAUUUAUAGUUCUUGUUUCACAUGAUUAGUUGGAUGUUAUUAAAUUCUUUUCACCAACUCUGUCAUGUAUUAUUGAUUGUGAAGAUUAAUAUUUGACUAAAUCUAUGUUUAGAUCUAUAAAGUUUAUAUAUGAUUAUCUUUGAUUUUAUGUUUUUCAUUAAAUUAUUUAUAUAAAGUGCUUAUGAAAACUUUGACUCUUUAUUAUUCAAUAUGUUUACAUGGGAUGCUUAGAUGUCAUACUAUCAAGCAGAAAAAGAACAUACAUAAAAUUAAUUUUAUUUGAGCUUAAUUGUUAUAUUUAUGAGAUGAUAUAGAUUGAUUUCGAGUUGUCACUCUAAAAUUGGGAAUUAAUUAAUAUUUAAAUAAUUACUAGUUGAAUAGUGCUGGAUUUUGAAACCUUGGUAGUUUUUGUCUUAUGGAAUUCUCAUUUGCUUUAAUUGUUUUCUUAGUUUAAUUAGUUUAAUUUUCUUAAAAACUCAAUUUGCUCAACUAGAUUUGAAUUAAUAUUAAUUUUAGAUUUAAAUUAGAUUUUUCAAUUUAUAACAAUUCACGUGGGUUCGACCUCGUUACCACUAUUCUAUUUCUAGAUUCGUGCGCUUGUGAGUAUUUUAAAUUUUUCACAACAAGUUUUUGGCGCUGUUACUGGGGAUUGUGCCAGAAAGUUAGUUUAAUCUAAGUUGAUUUGAUUCUUCAACUAGUUAUAAUUUAGGUUGUCUUUUAUUUAUUUAUUUAAUUUUUUUAUAAAAAACACAAAAAAAUUAUUAUUUUUUACUUUGAAUUCUUGUUUGGUUAUUUGAUUUCUUUUAAAUUUUGUUUAUUUUUAUUAUUGUUGUUUUAUUUUUCUUCUUUGUCUAGUUAGUUUAUGAGUGUUUGGAAACGCAAUUCAACAAAUCGUUAAGUAAAAAAAGAGUCUAAAAUUGAUAGUAGUCAAGCUAGUUCUUCUCAAGUGAUGGAUGACCCAAAUAGAAUAUUGCCAAUACUACCACCAGUGCAAGCAUAGAAAACCCCUAGAGAUUAUUUUUCACCACUUACAGCCAAUCAACCAUCUGGUAUUGUGUUGCCACAAACUACAGCAACACACGUUGAACUUAAGCCCUCUGUCAUUCAACUUUUACCAUCUUUCAAAGGGUUAGAGAAAGAGGAUCCAUUUUUUCAAAUUAAGGAAUUUCUUGACAUAUACUCUACAUUUCGUUUUCAAAAUUUUAAUGAUGAGUCAAUUAGGCUUCAUAUGUUCACUUUAUCAUUAAAAGACAAAGUGAAAGCUUGGUUGAAUUCACUUCCUGAUGGGUCUAAUACUAUGUGAGAUGAAUUGAGUAAUAAGUUCCUCACCAAGUUUUUCUCUAUGUCUAAAACAAAUGCCCUUAUGAGAGAGAUAAGUGGUUUUUAUCAAAGAGAGAGUGAGCAAUUUUAUGAGUGUUGGGAAAGAUUUAAUGAUUUAUUCCUUAAGUGUCCCCACCAUAGUCUUGAGAAAUGGAGACUUAUACAAUACUUUUAUAAUGGUUUAACCAUGUCAAAUCGUCAUAUGGUGGAGUCUAUGAAUGGUGGGAGAUUUUUGAACCUACAUGAAGGGGCUGCAUGAGAUUUCUUUAAUUCACUUUCUGAAAAUUCUCAACAGUGAAAUUUUUCAAAUCAAAGGGAAAAAUCAUCUCAAGUUUCAAAAAAGGGUUUAUAUGAAGUUAAAGAUGAUUUUGAUGUGAACGCCACUCUAGCUACUCUUUCUAGGAAAGUAGAUGUCUUAGCUCUGAACCAAUCAAUGAAUCACCAUCCUAGUGUAGCUAAUGAGAUUUGUGCUCUUUAUUCUAACUUAUCUCAUACAACACAUAAUUGUCCAUCAUUACCAGCCUAUCCAAAUGCUUAUUCUGAGCAGGUACAUGUCUUACAAUCGUAUGAAAAAUCAUUCAAUAGUCCAUAUUCAUCCACAUAUAAUCCUAAUUGGAGGAAUCAACCUAAUUUUUCUUGAAAACAAAAUCAACCUUUGUCGAACCAAGGAGGGCAACAAUUUAGCAUGCCCAAUCAACAAUUUUUCCCUUCUAACCAACUAUAUCCCCUUGCCUAACAGCCUAUGUCUCAAUUUGUUGCACCCCAACAAAGAAAACCUUCUUUAGAGGAUACACUUCAAAGUUUCAUUCAGUCUAUCCAACAAGCCUUUCAGUCAAACACUCAAGCUAUUCUAAAGUUUGAACAUCAAUUGGGUCAAUUAGCAACUACUGUGGCUGAGAGAGAAAAAGAAAAAUUCUCAAGUCAACCAAUUCCUAAUCUUAAAGGAGUGCAUGAAGUUGGAUCAAGUUCAAGCCAUCAGCAUGAAGAAGCAAAAUCUAUUAUGACCUUAAGAAGAGGAAAAUUAUUUGACAACAAGGUGGAGGUUCGAACAAGAAAGACAUUUGAACAUACUUAUGUAGAUUUAGUUCCAUCACAAGCUUCAUCACCUAAUGAUCAAGAAGAAAGUGGCCCACCAACUUACAUUCCUAAGGCUCUUUUUCCCCAAAGGUUAACAAAGGUAAAGAAAGGGACUUCAACAGGUGAGAUUAUGGAAAUCUUUAAGCAUGUAAGUAUAAACAUCCCUUUACUCGAUGCUAUUAAGCAAGUUCCCUCAUAUGCUAAGUUUUUAAAAGAUUUAUGCACUAAAAAGAGAAAUUUGCAUGUCACCAAAAAGGCAUUUUAAACUGAACAAACUAGCAAUGUACUUCAAUGUAAAAUGCCACCAAAAUUUAAGGAUCCAAGUUCCCUUACUAUCUCAUAUGUUAUAGGGAACCAAUUGUUUAAUAAAGUAUUGUUGGAUUUAUGAGCUAGUGUUAAUCUCUUACCUUAUUUUGUUUACAAGUAACUUGGAUUAGGUGAGUUAAAGUCAACUUCUAUUAUUUUACAACUUGCAGAUAGGUCAAUGAAAAUAUCUCGUAAAAUUAUAGAGGAUGUGUUGAUACAGAUUGAUAAAUUUUAUUAACCUGUUGAUUUUAUUGUUAUUGAUAUUCAGCAUGUACAAGAUCCUAAGAAACAAACCCUAAUUAUUCUAGGUCGUCAUUUCUUAACUACAGCCGAUGCUUUUAUUAAUUGCAGGAGUGGAAACAUGCAACUAUCCUUUGGUAAUAUGACCAUGAAAUUUAAUAUUUUUAAUGUUACCAAGCAGCCACAAGAAGAAGAUGAAUUUGUCGAAGCAAAUAUGAUAGAAGAAUUAGUAGAAGAUUCAUUCAUUUCCAACCACACUGAUGAUCCAUUAGAGGCAUGUUUAACUCAUUUUGAUUUAUCUUCUAAUGAUGACAGUGUAAUUGCAUAAGUCAACGCCUUACUUGAUGUACCUCUAAUUAUGGACACAACUAAAUGGAAGACAAAGUUAGAACCACUGCCUCAUUCUGAGAAGAAGAUUAGCCCAUCUGAGGAGACAAUACCAAAAUUGGAAUUCAAAGCAUUGCCCGACACACUGGAAUAUGCAUUCUUGGGAGAAUCUGACACUCUACCUGUUAUUAUUUCUUCUUCCCGAUCUUGAGCAAAAAUAUAAGUUGUUGGGUAUUCUAAAAGAGUACAAGGAGGCAAUAGAAUGGACUAUUGCUGAUAUUAAAUGUAUUAAUCCAGUAAAUUGCAUACAUCAUAUUAAUCUUGAAGAAAAUGCUAAGCCUAUUAGGGAGAUGCAACGUAGACUAAACCUUAACAUAAAAGAAGUGGUAAGAGCUAAAGUAAUAAAAUUAUUAGAUGCAGGAAUUAUUUAUCUUAUUUCAGAUAGUUCUUGGGUUAGCCAUGUGCAAGUUAUUCCUACGAAAUCUGGUGUUACAGUAAUUACUAAUGCUAAUAAUGAAUUAAUUCCCAUUAGAGUAACUACAGGUUGGCGUGUUUACAUUGACUAUAGAAAAUUGAAUUUAGUCACAAGACAAUAUCAUUUUCUUCUUCCAUUUAUUGAUAAAAUGUUUGAUAGACUUGUAGGUCAUGAUUUUUAUUAUUUUUUAGAUGGAUAUUCAGGUUAUAAUCAGAUUCCUAUAGCUCUAGAGGACCAAGAGAAAACUACUUUUACUUUUCCAUUUGGAACUUUUGCAUAUAGGAGAAUACCAUUUGGUUUAUGCAAUGCACCUGCUACCUUUCAAAGAUGCAUGCUUAGUAUUUUUUCUGAUAUGGUUGAGCGAUUUCUUAAAGUAUUCAUGGAUGAUUUUUCUGUUUAUGGAGAUUCUUUUGAUGAAUGUUUGCAACAUCUAACAUUAGUUUUGCAAAGAUGUAAAGAAAAGAACUUGGUUCUAAAUUGGGAAAAAUAUCACUUCAUGGUAAAACAAGAUAUUGUUCUCGAUCAUAUAAUUUCCAGUAGAGGCAUAGAAGUCGACAAAGCCAAUGUGGAUUUAAUUUCUAAUUUUCCACAUCUCAAAUCCGUAAAAGAAGUAAGAUCUUUCCUUAAACAUGUUAGUUUUUAUAGAAGAUUCAUUAAAGAUUUUAGUAAAAUUUCUAGACCCUUAUGCAAUUUACUUAUUAAGGAUGCACCUUUUAUCUUUGAUGAAUCUUGUCUUGAUACUUUUGAAAAGCUUAAGAAAUUGUUGACUUCUUCACCUAUCAUUCAACCACCUAAUUGGAUUUGCUUUUUGAAAUUAUGUGUGAUGCAUCUGAUUAUGUUGUAGGAGCAGUUUUAGGACAAAGAUUAGAUCGUAUGCCUUAUGUGAUUUAUUAUACUAGUAUGAUACUCAAUGAUGCACAGUUGAACUAUUCAACUAUAGAAAAAGAAAUGCUAGUUGUGGUGUUUGCACUUGAUUAAUUCAGAUCUUAUCUUAUAGGUUGUAAAGUGAUUAUUUUUACUGAUCAUGCUGCUUUGAAAUAUUUGCUUACUAAGAAAGAUGCUAAGGCAAGAUUGAUUCAUUGGGUGUUACUUUUACAAGAAUUUUACAUUGAAUUUAAAGAUAAAAAAAGUUCUGAAAAUGUUGUGACAGAUCAUUUAUCUCGCAUUGAUCUUAAAUUUAUUUCAGAAUCUUUACCUUUGAAUGAGUCUUUCCCAGAUGAGCAACUUAUGAGUGUAAAUAUUGUACCAUGGUUUGUGACACGACUCAAAAUUGUAGUACUCCCAAGUAUAAGAGUGUCUAGUUAUAAUAUAACCCGGUGAGUCCGGGGUCGAAGCACAUGGAAUUUUAAAUCUAGUAGUCAAUUUAAAACUAAGAAAAUUAAUUGUGGGGAAAAGAAAUUAUUUGAAAUCAAUUUAAAAAUAUGCUAAGGUUCGAGAUCCACUCUCUGUAUUCAAACUAUAAUUUUAAUACUCUCUUAUUUAUAUUUUGCCUCACUUUUACCAGUUAAUUAUUAUAUCAUUUAAUUUUAUGUGUGUGGAUGAAUAUGAAAUAAAGUACCUAAUGUAUCACAACUAAUUUAAUGUGUCGAUAUUAUGUCAAAAUACCAUACAGAUUCAAGAAAAAUUAUAAAUCAACAUGACAUAAAAAUAACUAGAAAAUAAUAAAAUAAACUUAAAAACUCAUUUGAGAAAAUAAUAAAUUUAAUAGUUUGAAACAUUGAGCUUCACCUUUCACCCCAGCUUAGUAAAAUUAGCCAGUCGUAUCGAAAGAAAAGAUAACACUUUUUUUAUUUGAUAAACUUUUGAAAUAUGUUACAAGGAAAAUUGAUACAAAAGGAAACAAGAAAAGAAAAGAAAAGAAAGAAAGACAAAAAUUCUUCAGUUCCCUAUUGGCUACAACUAUUUCUCUCGGCUUAAAAAUCUCAAAUCCCCUCGCGACUCUCUGCUCAAGCUUCCUGCAUUUCCUUGCCUUUUAUGGGCAAGGAAUGCAUUAUCUUUAUUUAUUUAUUUUAUUAUUAUUAUAUAUGUGUGUAUAUAUAUAUAUAUAUGUGUGUGUGUGUGUGUGUGUGUGUGUGUGUGUAAUGGUCAAGUGGCCAUCAUGGCCACUUGACCAUUACGAGAAUGAGCAAUUUGGUUUUUGUUCUUUUGUUCUUUUGUUCUUUUUUUAUUUUUUUUAUUCAUUUGAUUUAUUUAUUUACAUCUCCUCAAUAAUGCUUCCAAAUUGCUCCAGCAGUCCUUUUUUUAUCUCGCUUUCAAUUCUAAUUUAUUCUUGAAAAAUAUUUAUAAGAUAAAAAUUAAUAUAUUGCGAAUUAAUUUAACACAAAAAUUUAUUUGGAGAAUAUUAAGAUAAUUUAGAAAUAAUGAGCGCAUUAAUCUACACAAUAAGUGUAAAACUAAUAAUUUUAUUUUUGUUACACGUACACUUUUUAGUGUUAAUCACACCCCCCAACCAGCUUAUUGCUAAGCUCUAACAAAUCGAAAAAAAGUUCAGUAAAAUUUCAAACUCAAAUUGAAAAUUUUGUUUUUUUUUUUGUUUUUUUUAAAGGAUUGUGUUUACUUCUUUCAUCAUAUUAAUGACAACAAUCAAAUAAAAGUAUAAGCAUUAUCUUCAGCCUAAAGAAAAUCACACCCGCACAAAAUAGUCUAGUAAAAUCCUGUAAAAUGAUCAAUUAUCAGAGCUACAUUAAUCAAGUCACUUUAAAAAUGAUAUAUCAAACCCCAAAACUUCACGAUUAAGAGUGACUUUCUCAAAAGAAAAUAUAUCCCAAAUUAAACUGUCACUCUAAAAAAAAUGGUAGAUUUUAGAGAAUAAUAAAAUAAUAUCACACGCUCUCACCAAGAUGAAAGAAUAAGGCCCACAGCUUAGAAAUAAAAUGAUCUUAACUCAAGGAAUUAUUAGCAAAAUUUAUUUUUAUUUUUAUGCAUCACCACAUCUUUUAGUCUAUAUUACUAGCUUUUACUUCAGACUAUAGUUCCCUAAAUCAAGAAGGACUUUUAUUAAGACGUAAUGUAGGCUAUGGUUAUGGCUAACAAAAAAAGUAAUAGGGAAAACAAAAAUAUAUGUUUGAAAAAUAGGGGACUUUUUGGAGAUUACAAGGUGCUUUUUUUUUUUUGCUUGGAUUUUUUUUGCUCUCUUUUUUAUUUUAUUUAUUUAUAUAUACAUAUCCUCUUUUUUUUUAUAGCACCAUUAUUAGGAAUACAUAAUCAUCCCUAUUUUCAAACAUAAUUGGGUGGUGGAAAACAUAAAAUAUAAGGUGAUGCUCCACAUUGGAGUGGGAUAAGAUAAUAGGUUAUCAAAGAAAUUUUUUUUUUUUUAAAGACUCAAAGAGGUUAACUAUGGAUUCUUUAUAAUAAGGUUGACUAGAAAGACUUAAACGGGUCAAAGAUGGUCUUCUGUCAUCUUUUAGUGCUUUAAAUAAUCUUUCAUAUCCACUAGUUCAAUAGACUUUUAGAUGUGGUUGCACAAACUUUCUCUUUUUUUUUACUCUUUUUUUUUAAAGAAAAUAUUGAGAUCUUGUACAAUAAAUUGUGAAGUUGUAUUGGCAAACAUGGUUACUCUCCAAGGAUAAUAGGCUCAAAAAACUCACUUGGACUUUUUAUAACAUGUACAUUCCUCCAAAUGGCUUAAUCAAUUUCACUCAUUCAAUUUGUCAAUUUACGUUUCAAAAUGCAAAGGGAAAAACAUAGUGUAACAUAACUCAAGGCCAAAGAUAAUACGAAUACCAAAAUUUGAAAAUCAUCAUGUUAUCCAAUGUUAAAAGAUCACACCAAAAAAGAAAUUUUUUUUUUUAAGAAAACACUAAAAAAUUGGGACUAAUUGCAGAAACUUAAGGGAGAUGAUUAAGAGAAAAAGAGAAAUAGACAAAAAACAAAAAGUUAGAAAAUAAUUUUUUUUUAGAAAACACACUAAAAUUAAGAUGCGUUUCUAGAGACACUACAUUCUAUAUUCUGCCAUCUUCGACUCAAAUUUUUAUCUAAAGUUAGUCUUUACAACAAAAAUUAGUAAAAACAUCACCAGGACUGAGACAUUCCACAAUUAUCAACUAUUCCCUUCACCAACCCGAAGGAGACAUUGUCCUCAAUAUCUAAAGAAAUGAGUAGAGUUUAGAAGAUAUCACCUGGCCACAGCUGGAAAUAUUUACAAACGGCGAGUUAAAUCUAAUUUAUACUUUUUGCGAGAGUUACUGCCAUCGUCCUCAGUUGCCCAAUCCAAUGCCAAAGUCACGGGAUCUGGCUCUGGUUUAUAAGCUUGCAAAAGAUCAAAUAACUCAUUAUCAGUAGGAGCACAAAUGAAGAGUUUUUUCGUUAAGGAUGGAAUGAAGUAAUUUUUUAUUGCAUGAUUAAGAAAUAUUAUUGAGCCAUCAUAAAAGUUAUUAACAUUUAACAAACCGAUGAGUUUUUUAUGAAUAUUCAAAUGGGCCCAAGAAGAAAAUUUAAUUAGUGUCUCUAAAGUUGCAAGAUCUCCUGGUAAGAAAAUGAAAGCGUCAGCAUGAUUUAACAUUUUGGAUAUUCUUUCUUGCAUACCUGAGACAACUAACUCUUCUCCAGUUGGUGGGUCUGGUAGACAUCCUAAAGGUUUUAAGGCUUUUGGAAUGAUGCCUAGCACUUGGCUUCCUCGAAUAAAGGCAGCUUCAAAGACAAGUUUUGAUAACCCUUGGCCACCUCCUCCAUAUACAAGAUGUAGUUUCCUCUCUGCUAUAGUACGACCAAGAUCUAUGGCUGCUUGAAUGAACUCCUUAUACUUUCCAUAGCGAAAUCCAGAAAGUACACAAAUGUUUUUAAGUUGACUGCUUGAAGUUGCUGCCAUUAGAACAAUUCUAAAAAGAAACAAUUUGUGAGUGCUUGAAAAGAAGUUCCUAUUAAGGAUCUCGGUGACGGACAUAAUGAUAUAUGUAAAUGGGUAGUGUGUUUGUCAAAUGACGCGUGAAGCUUUUAGCUUAAUAAUUCAAAGGUAAAUAGUAAAAAGAAAAAACAAACAGUGAUUAGAUAAAAAAAACACACAAUAAUAAUAAUAAUGCAAAAGAUAAAAGAACAGUAAAAUAAAAGGAUAUUUACUGGUAGUUAUGAUUGUGGCUCACAUCUUCCUCUGGUUUUACGUCCAGUAACGACUUGAACGCCCUCUAUGGGUCGAGGAUAGGCUUCCCAUCCAGUUUUCUUAUAAACUGGCAAACAAGGUCUUUUAGAGUCAGAUUUCCAAGACUAAACUGUACACUUUCCUUUUGGAACAACUUCCAUAAAUUUUAAAUUUCAUGUUGAACAUAUCCGUUCGGAUGCGUCUUAAGAGAUCGUAAGAUAUCAUCCAACGAUUCUUUACUUAUGCCAUCCUUAAUGAAUUUGAUUUUAUCUUCACAAUUUACAGAAACCAUUCCUUACAACGUGGCUUUUUGUAAGCAAGUCUUACAUAGUGAGAACAUUAAGAGCCAAGUCGCUUAGCUCUUUUUUUUUAUAACAAAUGUACUUUUACCAAGACCAGGCAUGUAAGAAAUGAAUGGAUAAGAAAACUCACAUGCCAGUCAGACCUUUGCUUCAAUUAACUAGCGAAUGUUAGUAGGAAUCCCAUUGAUCAUUAACAAACGCAGUCGUUCACAACGAGUUUUGUAAAUCUUCGUAAGAGCAUUUUGAGGGAGAGAAGGAAAAAGUUGAUGCAAUUUUCAUUGUAUUUCUUCCAUGCUUGACAUUGAGGUUUCAGUUAUUGUGGGAAACUGAGAAUAUCGACUUAAAAAGUCACGGAGUACCGUUAUUCGCCAUUUAUACGGAAGAGUGAAUCAAAACAAAACGAAUCAAAUCUGCAAAAUCAAAUCAAAAGUGAAGAAGAACAACAAAAUAAAAUAAAAACACACAAGGAAUAUAACUCACCUUCAUCCUUUUAUUGAAUUUACCUCCAGUUCCAAUAACAUAUUAUAAAUACCAUCCUCUAUUUUCUUGAGUUGUCUUUCUAGAUCUUUCACGUGGGAUACUAAUUCUGGUGGUUGUAGCUCCCAAAUAGGAUGUGAUUUACAAAAUCAGAGUAAUUUCCUCAGGUGAAAUUUUACAUGUAAAAGUGCUUUAAGAUGAUCGAAAAGGAAAUUUCUCAUGGAGGUAUUCAUGACAAGCAUAAAAAUUUGGUGAGGUAAAUCACAAUUGUCAAACAACACACAAUUAAAACAAUGCAAUGUACUCUAUUCAAGACAUAGGGAAAAGGAAAAAGAAAAAAAAUCAGUUUGUCCUUUUAUUGAAUUUACCUUCAGUUCCAAAUGCAGAUUAUAAAUACCAUCCUCUAUUUCCUUGAGUUGUCUUUCUAGAUCUUUCACGCGGGAUACUAACUCUGGUGGUUGUACAUCCUAAAUGAGAUGUGAUUUAUAAAAUCGGAGCAAUUUCCUCAUGUGAAAUUUUACAUGUAAAAGUUCUUUAAGAUGAUCGAAAAGGAAACUUCUCAUGGAGGUACUUAUGACAAGUAUAAAAAUUUGGUGAGCUAAAGAACAAUUGUCAAACAACACACAAUUAAAAACAAUGUAAUGCACUCCAUUCAAGACAUAGGGAAAAGGAAAAAAAAUAAAACAAUUCAAACGAUAAAGUAAUAGUAAAUCAAAUUCACAAAAAGUUAAAAUGAAAAGGCUUAAUUAAAAUUUGGUGGGUCACUCAAAUUGAUUUCGGUAUCUGCUUCACGUGGUUGGUAUUUCAGAUAUAAUUUUAACUUUUGACCAUUAACUUUAAAUGUGACACCAUCCUUUAGAUUCUCAAUUUCUACGGCUCCAUAUGGAUACACAAUUUUUACAACAAAUGGACCAUUCCACUUUGACUUUAACUUCCCUAGAAAUAAAUGAAGACGAGAAUUAUAAAGCAACACUUUUUGACCAAUUUCAAAUGUUUUCCGAAAAAUUCUUUUGUCAUGAAAAAAAAAUUGGUCUUGCCUUAAUAAUUCUGUAAUUCUCAUAUGCAUCAUUCCUUAAUUACUUAAGUUCAUUUAAUUGCAAUUUACACACAUUACCAGCAUCAUCAAGAUUUGAAUGAAAACCUUUAAUGGCCCAAAAUGAUUUAUGUUCAAGUUCAACUGGUAAGUGGCAAGAUUUUCCAUAAAUAAGCCGAUAGGGUGACAUUCCUAAAGAUGUUUUAAAAGUAGUACGAUAUGCCCAAAGUGCAUCAGUUAGUCGAAGAGACCAAUCUUUACGAUUUGGAUUAACUGUCUUUUCUAAAAUUUGUUUUAUCUCCCUAUUUGCUAAUUCAACUUAACCACUUGUUUGAGGGUGAUAAGGGGUAGCAACCUUAUGUGUAAUUCGAUAUUUCUUCAUUAAUGACUCAAAUGGCUUAUUACAAAAAUGCUUACAUCUAUCACUGAUAAUGGCUCGAGAUAUUCCAAAUCUGCUCAAAAUAUUUUCUUUUAAAAAGCGGAUCACAAUCUUGUGAUCAUUGUGCCGACAAUGAAUUGCCUCGAUCUAUUUUGAAACAUAAUCAACAGCAACCAAAAUGUAUACAAAUCCAAAUGAUGAUGGAAAAGGGCCCAUAAAAUCAAUUCCCCAACAAUCAAAUAUUUCAAUGACAAGGAUGGGGUUUAAAGGCAUCAUGUUUCGUUUUGAAAUAGACCAUACCAUUUGACAAUUCUUACACAUUUUACAGAAUGCAUGUGAAUCUUUAAAUAAUGUAGGCUAAUAGAAUCCACACUGAAAUAUUUUUGCAGCUGUCUUUUUUGAAGAAAAAUGGCCGCCACAUGCUUCAGAAUGACAAAAUUGAAUGACCCUACUUACCUCGUCGUCUGGUAUGCAUCUUCGAAAAAUUUGAUCAGAGUAGUAUUUGAACAUGUAUGGAUCAUCCUAGUAAAAGCUUCUCACUUCUGUUAAGAAUUUCCUCUUGUCUUGGGAAUUCCAGUCACAUGGCAUUUCACAUGUCGCAAGAUAAUUAACAAUAUUAGCAUACCAAGGCAUUUUGUUUAUAGAAAAAAAAAAUUCAUUAGGGAAAGAAUCAUUGAUGGGUGUUGUUUCAAUUAAAGACUCAUUUGUAAUUCUUGAAAGAUGAUCUGCAACAACAUUUUCAACGACCUUUUUGUCCUUGAUUGUCAAAUUAAAUUCUUAAAGUAGCAAAAUCCAUCGUAUCAACCUUGGUUUGGCAUCCUGUUUUGACAUUAAAUAUCUCACAGCAGCAUGAUCAGAAUAAACACAGUAGAUGAACCAAUUAAAUACGAAUGAAAUUUAUCCAAUGCAAAUAUUACAACAAGUAGUUCUUUCUCAGUUGUAGUGUAAUUCAUUUGAGCACUAUUCAAAGUUAUACUUGGAUAAUAGAUGACAAAGGGCUUACCUUCCUUUCUUUGACCCAGAAUAGCGCCAACGACAUAAUCACUAGCAUCACAUAUUAACUCAAAAUGUAAAGACCAAUCAAGGGGUUGCAUUAUUGGGGCUGAUGUCAAAAGAGUAGUUAUUUUUUCAAAAGCUUGUUGACAAUCUUUAGUCCAUUCAAAAUGUGUGUCUUUAUUAGGAGGUUAUAAAGUGGUCUAGAUAUGACACUAAAGGCUUUUAUAAACCUCCUAUAAAAUCCUGCAUGUCCUAAAAAGGAACGGACUUCUCUAAUUGUCUUUGGUGAGGGUAAUUUUGAAAUGACUUCAACUUUAACUUUGUCAACUUCAAUUCCUUUUGAAGACACAACAUGGCCCAAGACAAUUUCAGAAGUGGUCAUGAAAUGACAUUUUUCCCAAUUUAAAACUAGUCCUUUCUCUUUGCACAUUUUCAAAAAAAUUUCUAGAUUAUCAAGACAUGUAUCAAAAGAAUUACCAAAUACAGUUAAAUCUUCCAUAAAAAUCUCUAGAUAAUUUUCAACCAUGUCACUAAAAAUGCUUAGCAGGCACCUUUGAAAUGUUGCAGGAGCAUUACAAAGUCCAAAGGGCAUUCUCCUAAAUGCAAAUGUUUCAAAUGGGCAUGUGAAUGUGGUCUUUUACUGGUCUUCUAAGGCUAUAAAGAUUUGAUAAUAGCCAGAGUAGCCAUCAAGAAAGCAGUAGUAGGGAUGUCCAGCUACUCUUUCGAGAAUUUGGUCUAGAAAUGGAAGGGAAAAAUGAUUUUUCUAGUGGCAUCAUUUAAUUUUCUGUAAUCAAUGCACAUCCGCCAACUAGAUGGAAUUCGUGUUGAGAUUGGUUCACCUUUUUCAUUUUUUACAACAGUUAUUCCAGAUUUCUUUGGUACUACUUGUGUUGGACUUGCCCAUUUACUAUAAGAGAUAAGAUAGAUAAUUCCUAGAUCUAGUAGUUUAAGGACCUCAUUCUUUACCGCUUCUUUCAUAUGAGAGUUUAGUCUUCUUUGUGGUUGACGGGUUGUUUUGGUAUUUUCCUCUAAGUGUAUUCGGUGUGUGCAAAUUAAAGGAUUAAUGCCUUUUAUGUCUUUUAAGGUCCAACCAAAUGCAGUUUUAUGCUUUUUUAGUAUAGAUAACAACUUACCUUCUUGAUCAUGCGUGAACUGAGAAGAAAUUACCACCAGAUAUGUCUGUUGUUCUCCAAGAUAGACAUACUUCAAUUCUUCUAGUAAGGGCUCUAAUUCGAGCUAUGGUGUUUCCUCUUCGUUUGGUUCUUCGGGUUGUAUCGUAUCUUCAAAGUCCGAUUGGUCAUCGUCACCUAUAGGGACCUGCAUUGAAUCAAGUGUACGACAUAUGUUAGCAGUAUCAUAAUCUAAUUCCUUACUUGAUUCAAAAGAACCAGCAAAAUAAAUUUCCGCAAAGUUUGUAAAAUUCUCAUCAUGAAUGUGUUCCUCAAUGAUUAGCUCGAUGAGAUCAAUCUCCUCAUUCUCAUUAUCAUCAUCUUCUUGGUGGUGAGGUUGUUUACACAUGUUGAACACAUUAAGUUCCAGUGUCAUGUUGUCGAAAGAUAAAUUCAUUAAUCCAUUCCUACAAUUGAUCAAAGCAUUAGCAGUAGCUAAAAAUGGUCGACCCAAUAUAAGAGGAAUUUGUUUGCAUUCAUUAGCAAUUGGUUCCGUUUCCAAAACAAUAAAAUCCACAAGAUAUAUGAAUUUAUCGACCUGGACUAAUACAUCUUCAAUUAUUUAUUUUGCAAUCUUAAUCGAUCUAUCAGCAAGUAAAAGAGUGGUAGAAGUUGGUUUUAACUCACCGAGAUUGAGUUGUUGGUACAAUGAGUAAGGAAGCAAAUUAACACUGGCACCAAGAUCAAGUAGAGCAUGUCCAAUUUUAUGAUCCCCAAUAGUGCAAGAAAUAGUUGGACAACCAUUAUCCUUGUAUUUCAAAGUACUAUUGGUUGAGAGAAUUGAACUUACUUGUUCUGCUAGAAAAGCUCUCUUUUGCAUCUUAUGUUUCCUUUUCACCGUGCACAGAUCUUUCAAAAUUUAGCAUAAGAAGGUACUUAUUUAAUGACAUCCAGCAGAGGAAUGUUGACCUUUACUUAUUUAAAAACUUCACAAAAUAAGAAACGGUCCCUCCAACGCAUAAAUGGUUGGGAGUUCACGUUCUCAUCAUCUUUGGUAAAGUCAAGUCCACCACGUAGACAUUCAUAAACCGCCCUACCAUAAUUCUUCGCGGAUAACCCCAGUUUAGGUUUAAUAGUGCUUGAGGAAAUAGGGGUACAGGAGGAGAGUUGGUUAUUUCUUAAUGGGUUAAAGGUUCGACAGACUCUUCCCUAUUUUCUGAAAUUGAAUCUUUACUGGUUUCACGAGGGUCCACAAUAUGUUUUCGACCACUUUACCACCACGAAGGGUUAUAACCAAUUUGACUUGACUCAUAAUUUGGUUUCCUGAAUUUCCCAUUUGCGGAUGUUGUUGACUCUUGGGGUUUAGUUCAGGUUGAGCAAUAAACUUUCCUUUUUCAUACAUGGUCAGAGUAGAUGUAAGUUUGGAGAUAGUUUCUGUCAAAUUAGUUAAGGUUUGCAUCGUUUGGUUAUUGAUUGACUCUUAUUUUUCAAUAAACGAAUGCAAUGUGUCUUCCAAAGUUUUUCUUGGUUGUGGAACAUAUGGUGGGUAACUCUGGGAGUUUUGAAAAUUUUGACGUGGAGGAAUUGGUUGUAAAGGUUGUGUAUGAUUGUCAUUUCUCCAACUAAAAUUUGGGUGGUUUCUCUAACCAGAGUUGUAAGUUUGGGAGUAUGGAUUUGGAUUUGGCCUUUUGAAAUUGUCAACGACAUUUACUUGUUCAUGCAAACUUUGUCUCCAAGCUGGCAAAGUUGGACGGUCCUGCGUAGAAUGGUCAGUAGAAUCGCAAACAUAACAUGAAAUAUUUUGAACAGAUUUUACAUGAUCAUUCUUUUUCAACUCUAAUGCUUCGACUUUUCUAGCUAAUGAUGUAAAUUUGGCUUGAAAAUCAUGGUCUUCCCUAAGGUUAUGCAUGCCUCCACCAGAUGGAGAUGACUGAGGUUUACUUGAUGACUCAUAAGAACCAACUGUAUCCCAGUGUUGUGCAUUCUCUGCCAUAUAGUCAAGAUAGUCUAAUGCAUCUUCAAGACUUUUAUCCCUAAACUCACCAUUACACAUCAUUUCAAUGACUUGUCGGCCUUGGGAUGUUAAUCCCUCGUAGAAAUAAGACACUAAUCUCCAUGUUUCAAAAUCGUGGUGUGGGUAAAUGUUAAGUAGUUCUUUAAACCUAUCCCAACAUUGGUAGAGGGUUUCUCCUGGUUUUUGAGUGAAUGUGGUGAUUUGUCUUUUGAAAUAAUUAGUUCUGUGGGGUGGGAAGAUUUUUUUCAAAAAUUGUGCUUGCAUUUCAUCCUAAGUUCUAAUGGAUCCUGACUUAAGAUUUUUGUAGCCAAGUUUUAACUUUAUCAUUUAGUGAGAAAGGAAAAAACUUAAGUAUGAUUAUAUUCAUGCUACAAUUUUGAUCAGUACAUGUGUUACAGACUUCCUCAAAUUCCCUUAAAUGCAAAUAUGAAUUUUCAAACUCAAAAACAUGAAAAGCAAGAAGAAGUUGAAUGAUACCAGGUUUAAAAUUAAAACGUGAUGCAUCAGGAGGGAAAACUAUGCAUGAUGAUGACCCUGUUCUAGUAGGAUGCAUGAAAUCUCUUAGGGCCCUAGGCUGUUGAUGAAGAUUUUGCAAGGCUUGGUCAUUUUCAUGCUCUGAAAAAUUUUCAGCUCCUGUGUCAAGUAAAAGAGUGGUAGAAGUUGGUUUUAACUCACCGAGAUUGAGUUGUUGGUACAAUGAGUAAGGAAGCAAAUUAACACUGGCACCAAGAUCAAGUAGAGCAUGUCCAAUUUUAUGAUCCCCAAUAGUGCAAGAAAUAGUUGGACAACCAUUAUCCUUGUAUUUCAAAGUACUAUUGGUUGAGAGAAUUGAACUUACUUGUUCUGCUAGAAAAGCUCUCUUUUGCAUCUUAUGUUUCCUUUUCACCGUGCACAGAUCUUUCAAAAUUUAGCAUAAGAAGGUACUUAUUUAAUGACAUCCAGCAGAGGAAUGUUGACCUUUACUUAUUUAAAAACUUCACAAAAUAAGAAACGGUCCCUCCAACGCAUAAAUGGUUGGGAGUUCACGUUCUCAUCAUCUUUGGUAAAGUCAAGUCCACCACGUAGACAUUCAUAAACCGCCCUACCAUAAUUCUUCGCGGAUAACCCCAGUUUAGGUUUAAUAGUGCUUGAGGAAAUAGGGGUACAGGAGGAGAGUUGGUUAUUUCUUAAUGGGUUAAAGGUUCGACAGACUCUUCCCUAUUUUCUGAAAUUGAAUCUUUACUGGUUUCACGAGGGUCCACAAUAUGUUUUCGACCACUUUACCACCACGAAGGGUUAUAACCAAUUUGACUUGACUCAUAAUUUGGUUUCCUGAAUUUCCCAUUUGCGGAUGUUGUUGACUCUUGGGGUUUAGUUCAGGUUGAGCAAUAAACUUUCCUUUUUCAUACAUGGUCAGAGUAGAUGUAAGUUUGGAGAUAGUUUCUGUCAAAUUAGUUAAGGUUUGCAUCGUUUGGUUAUUGAUUGACUCUUAUUUUUCAAUAAACGAAUGCAAUGUGUCUUCCAAAGUUUUUCUUGGUUGUGGAACAUAUGGUGGGUAACUCUGGGAGUUUUGAAAAUUUUGACGUGGAGGAAUUGGUUGUAAAGGUUGUGUAUGAUUGUCAUUUCUCCAACUAAAAUUUGGGUGGUUUCUCUAACCAGAGUUGUAAGUUUGGGAGUAUGGAUUUGGAUUUGGCCUUUUGAAAUUGUCAACGACAUUUACUUGUUCAUGCAAACUUUGUCUCCAAGCUGGCAAAGUUGGACGGUCCUGCGUAGAAUGGUCAGUAGAAUCGCAAACAUAACAUGAAAUAUUUUGAACAGAUUUUACAUGAUCAUUCUUUUUCAACUCUAAUGCUUCGACUUUUCUAGCUAAUGAUGUAAAUUUGGCUUGAAAAUCAUGGUCUUCCCUAAGGUUAUGCAUGCCUCCACCAGAUGGAGAUGACUGAGGUUUACUUGAUGACUCAUAAGAACCAACUGUAUCCCAGUGUUGUGCAUUCUCUGCCAUAUAGUCAAGAUAGUCUAAUGCAUCUUCAAGACUUUUAUCCCUAAACUCACCAUUACACAUCAUUUCAAUGACUUGUCGGCCUUGGGAUGUUAAUCCCUCGUAGAAAUAAGACACUAAUCUCCAUGUUUCAAAAUCGUGGUGUGGGUAAAUGUUAAGUAGUUCUUUAAACCUAUCCCAACAUUGGUAGAGGGUUUCUCCUGGUUUUUGAGUGAAUGUGGUGAUUUGUCUUUUGAAAUAAUUAGUUCUGUGGGGUGGGAAGAUUUUUUUCAAAAAUUGUGCUUGCAUUUCAUCCUAAGUUCUAAUGGAUCCUGACUUAAGAUUUUUGUAGCCAAGUUUUAACUUUAUCAUUUAGUGAGAAAGGAAAAAACUUAAGUAUGAUUAUAUUCAUGCUACAAUUUUGAUCAGUACAUGUGUUACAGACUUCCUCAAAUUCCCUUAAAUGCAAAUAUGAAUUUUCAAACUCAAAAACAUGAAAAGCAAGAAGAAGUUGAAUGAUACCAGGUUUAAAAUUAAAACGUGAUGCAUCAGGAGGGAAAACUAUGCAUGAUGAUGACCCUGUUCUAGUAGGAUGCAUGAAAUCUCUUAGGGCCCUAGGCUGUUGAUGAAGAUUUUGCAAGGCUUGGUCAUUUUCAUGCUCUGAAAAAUUUUCAGCUCCUGUGUCAGCCAUAUCAAAGGGUGGUGAAGGCGAUCUUCUAAUUAAUCUGCCACUAUUUGUAUGAGACCAAUGACGCAUAGAAGAUAAAUAAAAUAAAUAAAUUAGGUGGUGAAACCAGCCAUAAACAAAGGAAUUAAAAGAAACAGUUUAGGCAGUAUUUUAAAACCAGCCAUAUAAUAAAACAUAAAAUUAAAUAAAUUAAUGUACAAGAAUAAAUAAACUGAAAUUAAAAUGCUAGGAGGUAGAACCGACCAUAUAAGCAAAAAUACAUAAAUUAACAAAAUUUAAAUAACAGUCACGCGGUAGAACCGACCAUUUAAAAUAAAUGUAGAAAGUAAAUUGCAGAAAUUUAAAGAAAUAAAUUCGAUUUGGGGACUGAUUUGCAAAUGUUUAUGGGCUAAGAUGAAGUUUCUCACAAAUUUUAUAGAUAAUGUUAAAGUUUAAAAAGAGGAGGGGUGCUAACUGAAGUUUUGUAAAAAGAGAAUAAAAUAGGAUCACGGAAAGAUAGUAGGACAAAAAAUAAUAAUAAUAAAAUAUUAAAAUAAAAUAAAAAUAAAGUAAAAACAAACUAAUGCAAAAUUUAGAAAACUCCCCGGCAACGGUGCUAAAAACUUGACAUGACUCAAAAGUAUAUUACUCCCAAGUAUAAGAGUGUCUAGUUGUAAUAUAACCCGGUGAGUUCGGGGUCGAACCACAAGGAAUUUUUAAAAUCUAGUUGUCAAUUUGUUAAACAAAGAAAAUUAAUUGUGGGGAAAAGAAAUUAUUUGAAAACAAUUUAAAAAUAUGUUAAUGUUACGAGAUCCACUCUUGGUAUUCAAACUAUAAUUUUAAUACUCUCUCAUUUAUAUUUUGCCUCACUUUUAGCAGUUAAUUAUUAUAUCAUUUAAUUUUAUGUGUGUGGAUAAAUAUGAAAUAAAAUACCAAAUGUGCCACACUAUAUUAAUGUGUCGACAUUAUGUCAAAAUACCAUACAGAUACAAGAAAAUUUAUAAAUUAACAAGGCAUAAAAAUAACUAAAAAAAAAUAAAAUAAACUUAAAAACUCAUUUGAGAAAAUAAUAAAUUUAAUAGUUUGAAACAUUGAGCUUCACCUUUCACCUCAGCUUACUAAAAUUAGCCACUCAUAUUGAAAGAAAACACAACACUCUUUUUAUUUGAUAAACUUUUGAAAUAUGUUACAAGAAAAAUUGAUACAAAAGGAAACAAGAAAAGAAAAGAAAGAAAGAUAGAAAUUUAAGUUCCCUCGUGGCUACAACUAAUUCUCUCGGCUUAAAAAUCUCAAAUCCCCUCGCGUCUCUCCGCUCAAGCUUCCUGCAUUUCCUUACCUUUUAUAGGCAAGGAAUGCAUUAUCUUUAUUAUUUAUUAUUAUUAUUAUUAUUAUUAUUAUUAUAUAUGUGUGUGUGUGUGUGUGUACAUUGAAAUGUGUAAUGGUCAAGUGGCUAUGAUGGCCACUUGACCAUUACGAGAAUGAGUAAUUUGGUUUUUGUUCUUUUGUUCUUUUUUAUUUUUUAUUCAUUUUUAUUUUUUUAUUUAUUUACAUCACCUCAAUAAUGCUUCCAAAUUGCUCCAGCAGUCAUUCUUUGUUCCUGCUUUUAAUUCCAAUUUAUUCCUGAAAAAUAUUUAUAAGAUAAAAAUUAAUAUAUUGUGAAUUAAAUUAACACAAAAUUUAUUUGGGAAGUAUUAAGAUAAUUUAGAAAUAAUAAGCGCAUUAAUCUACACAAUAAGUGUAAAACUAAUAAUUUUAUCUUUAUUACACGUACACGUUUUAGUGUUACUCAGUUUGCUGAUAUAGUUAAUUACCUUGUUAUAGGUCAAAUCCCAAAACAUUGGACCAAGCAAGAUAGAACAAAGUUCUUAUCCAAAGUGAAGAAUUUAUUUUGGGAUGAUCCCUAUUUUUUUAAAUAUUGUGCUGAUCAGAUUAUUAGGAGAUGUGUUCCAGAGAAUUAAAUUCAAAGUGUCAUCUCUUUUUUCCAUGAACAAGCUUGUGGAGACCAUUUUAAUGCUAAAAAGACAGCAACAAAAUUUUACAAUGUAGGUUUUAUUGGCCUACUCUUUUUCAUGACGCUUAGGUUUUCUGUUCUUUAUGUGAUAGGUGCCAACACAUGGGUAGCAUUUCAAAGAGGAAUAUGAUGCCACUCAAUCCUAUUCUGAUUGUUGAGAUCUUCGAUGUAUGGGGUAUUGAUUUCAUGAGACCUUUUCCUCUAUCUUUUGGUUAUUAGUAUAUAUUGGUUGCAGUGGACUAUGUGUCGAAAUGGGUUGAAGCUAUUCCAUGCAAAACCAAUGAUCAUAGUGUUGUAGUGAAAUUCUUGAAGAGUAAUAUUCUGUCUCAUUUUGGUUUCUCUAAACAAUCAUUAGUGAUGGUCGUACCCAUUUUUGCAAUAAACCUUUCAAAAAUCUUUUGAACAAAUAUUCCAUUAUACAUAAAGUUGCCACCCCAUACCAUCGUCAAACUAAUGGCCAAGUAGAGAUUUCUAAUAGAGAGAUCAAGCAAAUUCUAGAAAAAAAACAGUUAGGCCAGAUAGAAAUGAUUGGUCUUUGAGACUUGAUAAUGCAUUGUGGGCAUAUAGGACAGCUUUCAAAACCCCAAUUGGGAUGUCACCUUAAAGAAUUGUGUAUAGAAAAGCAAGUCAUCUGCCAGUAGAGUUGGAGUAUCGUGCAUAUUGAGCUAUCAAGAAAUUCAAUUUUGAUAUGCAGCAGGCUGGUUCUAAGAGAAUAUUACAACUAGCAGAACUUGAAGAGAUCAGGAAUGAUACAUAUGAGAAUGCCAAGAUUUAUAAACAACGAAUGAAAGUCUUUCAUGACAAGCACAUUUUGAGAAAAUCAUUUAUACCAAGUUAGAAAGUACUUUUAUAUAAUUCCUGACUGCAUCUCUUUCCAAGUAAGUUACGCUCUCGAUGAUCGGGUCCUUUUAUACUUCGUACUGUCUUUCCUUAUGGAGGAGUUCAGAUUGAAAAUCCUAAAAAUAGUGAUUUAUUUAAAGUCAAUGGUCAAAGAUUAAAACCAUUUUUAGAGUUAAGAACACCAGAAAUUGAGGAGAUAGUUUAGAUGAUUCUGUUUAUCAUGAUUAAUUAAUUCCAUCUUUACAUUCUUUUUAUUUAUUUAAAUAGUAGGUUUUCUUUUCAUUGUUUGUUUUUAUUUUCUAGUAUUUUUCUUUUCUAACAUUUUCUUUUUAUUUGUCAUUUUUUUACGCUUUUCCAGCCUAUUCAGGUGUGUUCUCUCCAACUUUUUCUUUUAUUAUUUAUGUUUUUAUUUAUUUAUUUAUUCUCAUAUUUUUGCAUGCAUAUCUUUUGUUUGUGAAACAUUGAGGACAAUGUUCCGAAUAAGUUUGGGGGUGGGAAUAGUGUGUGCUUUGUUUGUUAUUAAAAAAAAUUAAAAAUUUUCAAAAAUUCAAAAAAAAUUUGUGUUGUCUUUUUUUGUUUUUAUGUGAAAAGCCAAUGAUAAGAACUUGAUUGACAAUGACUAUGGUUCUUAGAAAUGGUUGAAUAUUGUCUGAGUUUAUACUUGAUUCUUGUGUUAGUUCAUCUUGAUUGAGAUUCUUUAAACUAUGAGCACUAAUAUUAAUUUUUUCUGACUUGAAAUAUGAGAUUGACGCAGCCUGAAUUGAGAAUUUUAGAUAAAGUAAAUGACUGUUUGUCUUGAUUCUUAUCUCCACAGUACAAAAUAGUAUACACAAGCGCCGAAGUUAGAAAUAGCUACCUAUAACCCUUAAGAGUGAAGCUAUCCUUGAGUAAUUUGAGUCUAUGUACCACAAGUAUGUAAAGGAUAAUCUACCAUGAGAAGAAAGCUACCUUAAGGGGUAGAGUGAAGCUCCUGACUAUGGUUAAAAAAAAAAAGAAAAAAAAGGAAAAAAAAUCAAGUGCAUGUGUUGAAAUGAAAAAAAUCAAAAGAAAAUGCACAUAAAAGCCUGUAAAAAAAAAUUGGAGAUUAACAUGAUAAGAUUAGUUUGACCUAUUCUUUUCUUUAUUCAAGGCAAAGGUCGUUGAUAUUAAAGAUUUUGGGAAUGGAUUUGAUUGAAUUGAUUCACACACACACUACAAGAAUCAAAAGAGAGAUGAGAUUGACUAAUGAAUUAAAGUUAGAACUUUUCCAAUAUUUAAAAUUUUCUUUGAGCUAUAUAAGUUAUGCAAUCAUUGAGGCUAUCUUUAUAUUUUAUAUAAAGUUUUUUGUUCUUUUUAUUUUAUUUUAUUUUAUUUUUAUUUUUUUAAAUGAUGUUUGUGGGUAUCAUCACUAAAGCUUUCAUGAGACUAUAACUCGUCCAUUAGGGCUGCCUAGGGGUUUAAAAGCUUGUUGGAUAUGCUAAAUGCAAUCGCAAUCACCUGCGAAAGUGGUUUAGUUAGGAUUUACUUUUUUGUUUUGUUACUUUUAUUUUUGUUUUUAAGAUUUAGUUUUGCUCGAGGACUAGCAAAAUCUAAGUUUGGGGGUAUUUGAUGAGCAUAAUUUAUAUAUAUAUUUUACCCUUUAUUGUAUAUUUGUUAGUUAUUUUUAUUUCUUAUUUUUAACUAAUUGAAUUGUUUUAUUGAAUAGGGAAUUAAUUUGAGAUUAUGAAAAAAAAAGUGCAUAAAAGAUCCAUAAGAGAAAAGAAUUGAAGAAUUAAAGAUUAUGUUCUAAAGUUUCCGCAUGAGCUUAAGAUAAUUAAAGAAAGAUUUUAUUUAGCAAUUUGGAAUGUACGUGUUGGGCAUUAAAGGAAGAAAUCAUUAAUUGGCCUUUUGCUUUGGAAGUCAAACGUGUGGCUCGAUUUCCAAUUUUAAUAAGGAAAUAAUAUACAAAGGAUUUGGCGUGUGGGAGCAAAACAAAUAAAAGGCCAAAGCGUUUUGGCUUUAGAAUUGAAAAGGUGGGGCCCAUUUUGAGCUAUAUAAGCAAGCUUUUGCCUUUUGGACAAAAAAUGGGGGAAGCUGCCAAACGCAAAAUGAAGCAAAAGGAGACACGAUUCAAGAGAGAAGACAGGAGCGGCAACAGCUGUUUAGUUUUCAUGGCUGGAGUUAUUUAUUUUGUUGCUCCCAAUUCAAGUAUGUCUACCAAAUUUUUUUAUACUGAGGUUAAGGAUGAAAUCUUAUUCAAUGAAAUAGUUAUCUCUUUAUUUAAUUAAUUCCCCACAUGUGUGUUUUAAUGUUUAUGGUUCUUGUUUCACAUGAUUAGUUGGAUGUUAUUAAAUUCUUUUUCACCAAUUCUGUCAUGCAUUAUUGAUUGUUAAGAUUAAUAUUUGAUUAAAUCUAUGCUUGGAUCUAUAAAGUUUAUAUAUGAUUAUAUUUGAUUUUGUGUUUUUCAUUAAAUUAUUUACACAGAGUACUUAGGAAAACUUUGACUCUUUGUUAUUCAAUAUGUUUACAUAGGAUGCUUAGAUGUCAUACUAUCAAGCAGAAAAAGAACCUACGUAAGAUUAAUUUUAUUUGGGCUUCAUUGUUAUAUUUAUGAGAUGACAUAGAUUGUUUUCGAGUUGUCACUCUAAAAUUGAGGAUUAAUUAAUAUUUAGAUAAAUACUAGUUGAAUAGUAGUGGAUUCGGAAACCUUGGUAAUUUUUGUCUUAUUGAAUUCUCAUUUGCUUUAAUUGUUUUCUUAGUUUAAUUAGUUUAAUUUUAUUAAAACUUAAUUUGCUCAACUAUGCUAGAAUUAAUAUUAAUUUUAGAUUUAAAUUAGAAUUUUCAAUUUAUAACAAUCUCUGUGGGUUCGACCUCGUUACCACUAUUCUAUCUCUUGAUUCGUGCGCUUGCGAGUAUAUUAAAAUUUUUUACAACAGUAAGACUUCUUGAAUGCUGAAGACUAAUCACCCCACUUCACAUCUGCUGUGCAUUUUGUUACUAAUAAGAUUAACGACAUUGAGAGAAUCUAACUCAAUUAUAGCAGGAGCCAACCCGAUAUUCAUCACCAAUUGAAGGCCUUUGUGCACAGCAACAACUUCCACAAACUUUAUAUCUCUGGAGAAAAUCACCCUACAAAUAAAAGCUGCCAUAACCUCUCCUAUGGAAUUACGAACCAAUACUCCAAUACUAGCACGAUCUUCUGUAGAACUUAUAGCCACAUCAACGUUCACUUUGUACCAUGACGAGGGAGGACUUUGGCAACACGAGCUGGGAGUAUUGGGUUUAAUGCUCUUGCUGGUUCCACAUUACAACGUGUCUGCUCUAAAUGAGUUCACGGCAUUCGCAGCUCGGACGACAAUUGCUUGAGACUUAGUGAUAACUUUACCAUAAAUCAAAUGAUUCCGAGCUAGCCAAAUUGACCAACAUAAGACCACCAAUUCUUCAAACUCAUCUUUUGUUACUAUAGAUGUUAUGUGAGUGGUCAAAUUGGAAAACUCCACAGGCCUUGUAAUCUUUAGACAUGAAUAAAAUCUCGUGAGCUUCCAUACCUUCUUCUCUUGUUACACACCACUAGAGCAUGAUACUGAUCCUCAUAAGUAAAGCCACAACAAGGGCAUGAAGGAGCAACUUGAAUUUUCCUUUUAUGCAGAUUUAAAUAAUUGGCUAGAAUAUUGGAAAAGGCUCGCCAAUAAAAGAUUUUAAUCUUGGAUGGUUGAGACAAAUUCCAGAGAUAUUUCUGCCACCCUGUGUUAGUACUAGAACUGGAAGGCCAGUCCUUGAGUUUCAAACGAAAGGCCACAUGGUAGCCACUCUUUACGUUAUAGUGGCCUCACUUAUCAUAUGUCCAGACCAGUUGAUCCUCCAAUGGCUUUUUGGGUAAUAGGAUUUUCAAAAUCUGAGUUACAUCUUCUUUGAGAAAAUUAGUUCUUAUUAACUAUUCUUUCCAGCAUCCUUCUUCGUCAAUCAAGAUGGCUACUCGAGAUUGAGAAAGUAGGAUCUGAGGAGAGAAUGAUUUGAAUGUGCUAGGACGAGGAAGUCAUCUGUGGUGAUAAAUAGAAACAGUUUUACCAUAUCUAAUUCUCUAUCUUGAGGCAGCCUCAAUGACCUCUUUCCCCCAUAAGAUACUUCUCCAUAUAUAUGAAGGAUUACUACCCAAUUUACUCUCCAUGAAGUUGCCUCUUGGAUAGUAUUUAGCUUUAAUAACUUUGGAGACUAGAAAGUGUGGAAAAGAAAUUUAUCUCCAGUAUUGUUUUGCUAUAAGAGCUUUAUUAAAAGAGCUCAACUCUCUAAAACCAAGGCCCCCAUAUUCCUUUGAAAGGCAGAGUUUCAAAGAGGCAACCAGUGAAGGCUUUUGGAGGAUAAAUUCUGACUCCACCAAAAUUGGCGAUUAAUUUUUUCAAAUCAUCACAAAAGCUGAGAGGGAACUUAAAGACACUCAUCGCAUAUGUGGGGAUAGCUUGAGCAACAACUUUGAUCAAUAUCUCUUUACCGCCGCUUGAGAAUAAUUUGGCUUUCCAAAUCUUUAAUCUUGUCCCAAAGCUGGGUCUUUAAUGUAUUAAAGAAGAAUUUUUUACUUCUGCCCAGCUUCAAUGGGAGACAAAGAUAUUGCUUAUGAUGAGAGACAACAUAAAGGUUGAAGACAUGUUUAAUUGCCUCUCUGAUGUUUCCUGGAGUAUUUGGACUGAAAAAUAAAGAUGAUUUUUGAAAAUUGAUGACUUGGCCAGAUGCAUUACUAUACAGAUCAAACAACUCUUUGAGAUGGUUAUAUUCUGCAAUCGUUGCUUUGAAGAACACCAAGCUGUCAUCAACAAAAAAUAAAUGAGAAAUAGUAGGGCCCUGGACACCAAACUUAAUGCCAUGAAUGAAUUUAUGAUUUUCGGCAUAGACCAAUAAAAAAGAUAAAGAUUCUGCAUAUAGAAUAAAUAGAUAAAGGGAAAGAUGACAUCCUUAUCGCAACCCUCUCUGGGGAUUGACGAGACCUCAAACUUCGCCAUUAAGAAGGAAGGAGAAUGUAGAUGACAUGUGCAUUUAAUUGUGAGACUCACCCAUCGAUUUGAAAAUCCUAGCUUACGCAUAAUGCCUUCUACAAAACACCAUUCAAUCCUAUCAUAAGCUUUGCUAAUGUCAAGUUUUAUAGCAACCAACCCCUAUUUUUCAUGUUUAUUGCAUCUAAUCUUAUGGAGACACUCAUAGCCAAUUAUGAUAUUAUCUGUGAUCAGUCUUUGAGGAAUAAAGUAGGGAUGGCAAAAUCUGGGUCCGGGUCCGGGUUUGGCCUUCCCGGUUCCGGACCCGGAUACUAAAAUGCUAUACCGGACCUGGAUUUAAACCCGAUUUUUGUGACACCGGGUCCGGAACAGGUUAAACCCAGAUUAUUUCGGGUUUCUGGAUUGCGGGUUUUCAACCCGGAUCACAUACAAAUAAAAAAAAAUCAAAUACACUUUACAAAUUUGCAAAACCAGAUCAACAUAAAUCAAAUACAAAGUAAUAAACCAUUUUAAUUUUACAGAUUUUUAAUUUCAAAACAAUAAACCAUUUGCAAAUACAGAUCGAUGACAUGACACUCACAAAAUACAAAUCCAUGUCUACAACUCAAAAUCGUGAUUCACGGAUUUGGUUCACAAACUUCAACAAUCGGUGUCCGGCGAAGUAACGAACAUCGGUGGCUGAUGAUAUGAUGAUGAUGAACACGUCAUUGCUGCGAGCGCGAUUCGCAAAAGGCAGAUGAACGGCAGCUAAAACCGAGAUCGCAAUGGACAAACGACGGCCAAAUGAAGGCUGGUGAUGAUGAUGAAUGUGAACACAACGAAGCGAAGCGAUGAGGAGUGACGACGAUGAUUUGAUGAAAAGAAGAACUGAAGAGAAAAAGGAUGAUUUGAUGAAGAGAAUAAGUGAAUGGGAACGGAAAUGAUGAUUUGAUGAAGAGAAAAGAAAAAGGUAGAGAGAGGCGAUUGUGAAAGUGUGAAAUGAAGAGAAGAGAAAAUAAAGAGGACGAAAAGGAUGAUUAGGGCAUCAACAUUUUUCCCCUUUUUAUAUUAAAAAAUAAUUUAAAUAUUAUGCUAAAAUAAGAAUAUCCGGUUCCGGGUUUUGGAUAUACGGGUUAUCUCAAACCCGGAACCGGACCCGAAUCCAUUCGGGUUAUUAAAAUCUAUUCCGGACCCGAAUUUUUUUACAUUCCGGUACGGAUUCAACCCGUCCUGGAUUAUCCGGGUUCAUCCGGGUCCGGGUUAUUUUGCUAUCCCUAGAAUAAAGGCAGAUUGGCUAGAAAACCAAAUUAAAGUGGCGGCUAGGGUUUUCAAAACUUGUAAAGUUUUGAUUUUUUUUUUUUUUUUUGGUGAUGGAUUUGGUGGGAAGAGAUGUGGGUAUCCAGGAAAGCUGUACGAUUCACACAGAACCGCUCUCAUACCAAUUGAUGGAGCGGCAUAGCAGAAGCAGAAAUUGAUAGGAUAGGAAAACUAGAUAUCAUUCUAGCACUGGACCAAGCCAACCUGAUUAGCUUACGCUCUAAUCGAAGCGUGAUUAGAUAUCAUUCUAAUCUAGACGAUUCAAUGAGAUUUUUAAUAACGCAUAAUGCGAGAUUAGAUGACGUUCUAAUCCAAAUGACUUUACGAGAGAGAUUUUGAUAGAUAAUUUCAGAGGGAAUUAUAAAAUAGGGUUUUUUUUAAUAGAGUAAACCCGCUUUUUUUUUUAUAUCUAUUUUUUUUAUAAAAUAGAUAAUUUUUGAAGUUCUGAAAACAAUAACAAGACAUCUCUAUUUAUAAUAGAGUAAACCCGCUUCCCUAAGUUAACUUAAAAAGAGAAAAUAAUCACAAUUAUAAUGAAAAUAAAAUAUACUUUUCCUAAGUUAACUAAAUCUCAUACCUUAAUUGUCUCUAAUAAAAACAAAAAGUCCUAAAAUAAUAAAAUACCAUAAUUGACUCUAAUUAAAAUAAAAAUUCCUAAAAUAAUAAAAUUCUACAAUCUUAAAAUUCCUAAAUUAACCUAAAUUAACUUCCUACAUCACAAGCUAUUAAUCCUCCCAAGUACGAUCUGUUGGCUCCACCAUAUUCGAGAACAAUACCAUAUAUAUGAAUAAUAUUGUGUACAUAAAUAGUACCGUAUACGUGAACAAUACUAUCUACACCAACUACAAACCGUCGGCUCUAAUACCAUUUGUUGUUCGCGAAAUACAGAAUCAAAUGCACCAAAUAAUCACAGAAAAAUAAAGAACACAAGAAUUUAAAGUGAUUCGACAAUUAUGCCUAUAUCUAUGGGAGUAAGGGAUAAUAAUUGUAUUACUAAUAAUUAUUUAAGUACAAUAUUUAAGUAAAGAAAUUUCUCUUCUUAAAACCUAAAUACACCCAGUACUCUCAUACAUGGUUAAAAAAAAAAAAUCUUUCAAUUGCUCACUCUCAGCAAUUCUUCACUUGAAUUAUUUAUAUCAAAUUUUAAGAUGAUGCCUUCAAACUUGCACUAUUACACCUAACCCUUUAAUUGCAUUUCAACAAUUUCGGCCACUAAUUUGAAAAACUCUUUAAUUUCAUCCAAAAAAGUCUUCAUAAUUUUGCAAAAGUCUUCAUGCCCUUUUUUAUUUUAACAUAUUAAUGGUAAUCCAUACGGAAGGGUAAAUUAGUCAUGAGACUUCACAACUGAACAAAAAAUAAUACAAGAGAAAUGAUUUUAACUCAUAAAGCGUGGUAGAUUGACUCCACAGAAUAUUCCGAAGAGAAAAACAAAAUAGUAAUAGACAAAAUUCAUUGUCAUCAACCACCAGAGAAUAGCAGGCAGCACGGUUGUGCUGGUUUGACUUUUCUCAUCUUCUAGCUAUACCCCUUUCCUCUACUCAAAUCUAAUUUUUUUCCUCAACAAAACAAAUUUUAGCACAUAAUUUUUUCUAAUAUAUCACUUUAUCACUAAAAUUUGUUGCCAAAUACUUUUCUUAACUUAAAAUUUUAAUUUCUUUCAUUUUACCAUCAAUCCAUAAAAAAUAGCAGGAUUUUUAAUAGAAAUUAGGGAAAAAGACAUUAAUACUCUCACGAUUUGAGGAAAUGGUCAAUAAAACUCCAAAUUUUUAAAAAGAGAUACUAAGACCCCCAUUUAACCAUUAUACACUAUAUCUUAUUAUCCAAAAAAUUAACUUUAAUUUAUUAUUUAUCUGCUGUACGGCCAAGGCGGAUGUACGGUACAGCAGAUAAUAAAAUAUAUCUAUUAGAUUGUAAAAUAUUAAAAUAUUCAUAAAUAUUGAAAUUAUUUUAAAAUAUUUAUAUUAUCACAUUUAGUUUAAUGUUAUUAUAAUACAUUAGAGUUCAUUUUUUCGCGAUAAUAAAGAUAAAAGAUAUUAUAGUUAAAAGAGAAUUUUGGUGCCCUCUUUUCAAGACUUGGGGAUGUAAUGACCAUUUUUUCUAAAUUUUAAGAGUGUACAUAUCAUUUUCCCUAAAAGUUACAGUAAAAGUUUAUUUUCCCUAAAAUGUGCAAGUACAAUUUGACCGCUGAAUUUAAAAAGUAAAAUAUUAAUCAAAUACAAAAAAAUAUCACUUUUAUAAAUUGAUUAUUUUAAAUAUAAAUAUUAUAAUACUUUUGACUCAAGGAUUCCACAUUAGCCCCAAGACGUUGGUCUCUAACCAGAAAAGUAAAUGUUUGAGCUUGAGAAGCUUAUGGUCCAAUGGGACCAUAAAACUCACUAGGAUAAGUGGUAUUAUUAAACCAGACAAAACAACAAACAAUGAAACCAAAAACAGAUAAAGCACCUAAAUUAUAAGACAAGUUAGCCUCCCUAGACCCUACAAGUGCAUGGUGAGCCCAUGCAAAAAGCUUGGUUAAAAUAUGCGAGAUUCCAACAAAUAUACAAAUGAAACCUAACCAUACCUGACCUCCAAAAAUAUCUUCCAAAUCAUCCACACUAACAAUCCACCAUUCUCCUCCAAAAAGAGAAUUUUCGCAAAUAACUAAAAAUAACACAGGGCUAAGGGUCAAGUUGGAAGUUGGUAAUUUUUCUUCCAUCCCCCCCCCCCCCCCCCCCUCUCCAAGUGAGGUAGCACAUGAAUUAUGCUUGCCCCCAAAAUAAAGAACCUUGAAUGCUUGAACAAAUUUCUUAAAAUAUUCUUAUGACAUCAAUAAUUUCUUAAUGCGUUAAUGAUUUAGUUGUAAAAUAAUAAAAACUAAAACAUUAGAUAUCAAAAAAUAAUUAUUAAAAAAAUUGGGUUCAUAAUAAUUUAGAAAAAAAUUAAGUAAUAAAAUGAUAACGUCCAACAAAAAAAAAAAACUUAUAAUUUAAUAUCAAGCCUAUUUUCACGCAACUUUUAUUUUAAGGUUUUGAAUCCCAACCUUUUGCUAGGACUUGCCUUCUCAUUCCACAUUAUUACAGAGUAAAUGUGUCUUCCACAAAUAUAAAAACAAUAAAUACAAUUUAAUAUCGGGGACACUGGACGUUUACAUAAAGGGAAAAAAGAGAGAGACAACUAAAAAGAGAGAACGAAUACACUGAUUUAUUAACAUACUUGAACCAAAAUUUCUUUUUUUCUCCAAAAUUCUUAAUAUUUCCGAACUUUUCAUGGGAUUCUUGCUCUUUUUCUUGGGUCAAUAACUUUCCGCUCACCAAACACGAAAGAAUCAAGAAAAACAGGAUGCGAUGGUAAGGACAUUGGACAAAAUCCAUUGUAGUUUAUUUAGAAGGGAAAAUGACAAAAGCAUCUUCAAGGAAGAGAUACCCAACCCAAUACAAAUAGUCACAUCAUACGAACACAAGUAAGCCAAACAACAUCAAACCCCUUAGAUUAGCCAAAGAAAACUUCGUAGAAAUAAAUUUGCAGAAAAUAAUGUGAUAAAAAGGUUUGGCUGAAAAAUAAUAACCGCUAAUUAAAAUAAUUAUAUGAACUAUCCAAAUAAUUUUAUCCAAUAUCCAAUCAAUUUCUAUACGUGAUAACAUUUUAGAUAACCAUUAUCAACGUUGUGAACUUUGUGAUUACGAUACCCCAAGAUAACAACAGUAGGCGAAAAAAUUAAUUUUCCUUUAUUGCAGCUUAUUUUACAAGGGAAAUACAAAAAAUCGAAAUACAAACACACAAUAGGAAAACAACUAAAUUACCCUUAAUCCAUAUAAAGAUAAUAAAAUAUUUUAUAAAAAUAAUAAAAUAUUUUAAUAGACUUAUGUGUACAAAUUUUAAAAACUAAUAUUUCCUUAUAAUUUUCAAAAAAAAAUGAGGAACCGCAACGUUAAUAAUCAAGUGAUUAAAUUCUUACUGUUAGAAUAAUUUUUACAACUCUUAGUUGAAUCUAAUGAUUAAAUCACAAAAAGACAAAAAAUAAACAUCAAAUCACAACCACUCGGGCAGUAGCCCGAGUGGCCAGGGCUGCUGCCCUCCAACUUGGAGGGCAACAGUUCGAACCCCUAUAAAAAUAUUGUGGGGGUAUUUCCUUCUUCAAUUAAUUUGAGUGAAGGUAGUCUUAUUCCUUACCUAUGAGUGAGGAGUAGACAUCCCUCGAAUAUUUGUGAGGGUUAAAAUUUUGGCAGAGCUCCAUUAGCAUUGAUGUCAGUUGGUCCCAAUAAUAGUCUGAUUUAUAAAUAUCAGUAAUAAUCUCAUGUAUAUAAAUUAUAAUCUGAGCAAUAAUCUCAUCUAAUAAAAAAUAAAUAAACAUCAAAUCACGGUUGCAUAAUAACUGAACCCUAUCAACGUUGUAAACUUCGGCCAUGUUUGGCAGGCCGCAUUAUGCUGUAUCAGGGCUCUGCAUUGCAUUAAAUUAUCACAAUACGGAGCUGGCUAAGUUACAGAUUCUGUAACUUACACAGAUCCAACUGUAGCCAACUCCUAUUGCCUGCAUUUGCACAAUGUUUCUCUCUCCUCAGAACACGUGUGCUGUUUCCCUUUGGGUGUGUACGUUACAGAUUCUGUAACGUAGAUUGGUCCAUCACAAUACAAUAUUUGGCACUUCUUCGUUAUUGCAUUAAGAAAAAAAAAUUAAUGCAGGAAACCCGCAUAACGGAAACCCGAGUGAGACUCGGGUUUUUACCGUAUUAGCUUCUUCUUCUUCAUCUUCUCUAUUUCUCUCUCUUUCUUUUUCUUUUAUUUUUUAUUUUCCUUUUCCCCUCUUAUUCUUCAUCUUCUCUGUUUUUCUCUCUUUUUUCUUUUAUUUUUUUCCUUUUGCCCUCUUCUACUUCGUUUUCUCUGAUUCUCACUCUCUCUUUUUUCUUUUAUUUUUUCCCUUUUCCCCUCUUAUUCUUCGUCUUAUCUGUUUCUCUCUCUCAUUUUUCUUUUAUUUUUAUUUUUUCCUUUUCCCCUCUUCUUUUUCGUCUUCUCUGUUCCUUCUUUUUCUGAGGUUCUUGUUUGUCAUCUUCUCCAUUUCUUUCACCAUCUUCAUAUAACCACUAAUAGGCGCAGCCGCUGCCUCCCUUAGUUGCUUUAUAUGUUUGAUUCAGGGGGUUUGAUUUUUCAGAUUGGUUGAAGACGACAAUGAUGGAUGAAAUUUGUUUGAGAUGAGAUUGAAUGCCUUCACAAAAUUUUUAUUUUAUUAUGCUACACGAACCAUUAUUGAUAAUUAUUUUUUUUAAGAAUUUUGUUUAUAAAAAAACAAUUGUUCAGAAUUUUGUUUAUAAAAAGACAAUGGUUGUACAACCCGUGUUGAUAACUAAAUUUGAGUUUACAAAUUUGUUUAAAAAAAGACAAUUGUUGUCAUCAUUUAUCAAUAAAAUUUAACAUUUAUACUAAAAAAAAUUGUUAAAAUUUUUAAAAUUUAAGACCUCUAUUUUUUUAAUUUUUUAAGUACUAAUAAUUACUAUUUUUUAAAUAUAUAAUUUAAAUUAAUCACAAAAAUUAAUACAAUAUAAUAUAAUUAAAAAUUAAUAUAAUACAAUAUAACACCAAAUACUAUACAAUAUUAUUAUAAUACAACAUAAUAUAAUACACAUAUAUUAAAAUAAUACAAUAAAAAUAUACAAUUCAAUAUACUAAACACACUCUUCGUGAUUACCAUACACUAAGAUAACAACAGUAGGGGACAAAAUUAAUUGUCCUUUAUUGGAUUAUUGGAGCUUAUUUUUACUAGGGAAAUACAACAAUCCGAAUACAAAAACACAAUAGGAAAACAACCAUCACAAGCCAAACCAACAUCAACCACCUAAAGAAUAAGCAGGCAGCACGAUUGCGCUGCUUGACUUAUUCUCAGCUCCAAGGUAUGUCCCUUUUUCUCUCUACUCCAAUCCUAAAUUUGUCCUCAUCGCUGAAACAAAUUCAAACACUUUCUUCCCAUCAGGAAGUGCCUUGGCAACAGUCUCCCUCUGCAAGCAUCUCUUCACCCAAGCUAUGAACUUGGGGCACUCAGCCUCGACGUUGAACUUUCCACAUGUCUCAUACGUGUAAAACCAACAAUAGAAUGGGAUCAAACUUAAAUCCACAUACCCAAAAUUGUCUCCUCCGAAGAAAGGCUUGUCUCCAAGCUGCCCUUCCAAAGUCUUCAGAACUUCAAAGAACUCCUUCUUAGCUGCCUCCUGCUCUUCUCCCUUUGUGGUCCAUGUCUUCCUCAAAGAAUCGUACAUCUGCAAUUUACUUUCAAUAUUGUAUCAGAAAAUCUGUCCGAAAAUGGAUAAAAUUUAACACAUUCAGGUUCAGUAUCCAUUUCAAGACAACAAAAUCAGCAACAGGUAGGUUACAGUCUUACACUUAGCUGCAAAACUAUGUAGAGGCCAAGAAACAUCCAGAAAAAUAAAGGACUGAAUUGAAAUUUUACUAACUUCUACGCAUAUCUUAAGAUUUUCAAGACUAGAUUUUACCAUCUCAAAAAUAUAGAACCCACAGACAUCCAGCUAUUCCUUAAAAAAAAAAAAAAAAAAAAAAUUUUUGUAAACUCACACCCUCUAAAGCUAAAACCAAGAGCUAAACAUUAAGAAGGCCACUACUUACUACCCUUACUACUGAAACUAGACUUUUAACUGCAAAUAUUCAGCCUACUCUAGUUUAUAGUAUUCUCACUAUGAUCCUCAUCGUUGGCCUCUCAGAUUUACUGACUUUUUGCUACAACCUACUAAAGUUUAUAAUAUCUGCAUCAUAGUCCUGUAACAACCAAAAUCUUCAACUCUGUAGGGGACAUCUUUUCCCCCUCCGUUCAAUGCAACCCCUGUUUAUUUGUAGUCAAACAACAAAUCCAUGACAUCUACUCGACAAUGAAAUAUUUUAAUAACAAAAUUUCGGCUUCUAUUUUAAUAAAAUUACAAUUAAAUCUAAAAUUGAAAAAAUACCCAUAAACAUACUUCAGAAAAUCAACAACAAAGUUACCUUCUUGUCAAUGAAAUCUACCCAGAACCUAGCUUGAGCUCUCUGGUAGGGAUCAGAGGGAAGCAAUGGAGCCUUGUCCUUCCAC